UGUGCAGGUCUGAUGUUGCUGGCCUUGAGGAGUAUCAGAGAGACCACAUGAGGAUGCCAAGCUUGUAGGAGUGCGUGUAGUUGAUGUUGGAGUCAUGAAGGAAACACUGAAUCAAGGCGCUGUCGGUGCAGCUGAAAUUUAAGCUGUUUGUAUCUGUAUUCUGUAGCACAAUGUUCCAGCAUGGCAGUGAUGUUGCCUAGUUUAAUUCAGACGCCUAGCAUGGCAGUGAUGUUGCCUAGUUUAAUUCAGAUGCCUAGCAUGGCAGUGAUGUUGCCUAGUUUAAUUUAGAGGUGGAGCAUGAUAAGUCGAACUGUGAUGUUGCCUAGUUUACCUGUAGUUGUAACUGUAAUCUCGGAUGCUGUGGAUCUGCUGUUUUAGUUGCUUGCAGAAGACACUUUGAAUAUUAUUAUGAUCCCUGUACUCUUGUAGCAAUAAGGGGAUUGGGGAUUACCUUUCACGGUGGAGGGAUUUGACACUUUGACCCGUACGAUCUGGUCAUUGGGCGGUCAGGAUGCGUCUCCGCACUGCGCCAAGGCAGACAGAGGCGCUGCUAGUGCAGGUCCCGUCCAGCCCGCUGCCGGGUACCGAAGGCUCGAUCGCUCAUCCGAUGCGCUCUUCUGCUGCUCCUCGCCAUCAUCUAUUCCCUGCCUGCGUCGCUGCCCUCGCACGACCAUCUAUCUUUAUCUUCUCACCGGUGUGGAGGAGGCCAGCUGGUUUCGUCCAACACAUGUCUGUCUGACUGGCGAAUUCUUUCUUGGCGUACAAGGAGAUGAGUGCCGAACACAGCAGAAAAAACAACACCAAUUUGAACCCGUAAGAGAGUUGCCUAAUAUGAGCCCGUAUACGCCCGCGGACACGCCCGUUGGCAAUGCCCAUGUUUCGCUGUCUAUAACCAAAUCCAUACAAUGCAUGCAACCACAUAGAUCAAAUAUCUCACUAAUCUGAAAGAGGGAGACGCCAACACCUGUUAUUUCCACCUCCGUGUGAACAAUUCCAUCCAUCGCCUCAAGCACAACAAUGGUUGGGUCACGGAACACACGCAAAAGGAAGAAAUUAUCCAUCGGCACUUCAAGAGCAUCGCCACGAGAGGCCCUCCACGCAAUAUCGAUAUUAACUGGAACAUUUUACCGACCCUGACUGCGACCUUCGGAAUUUGGAUGAGAAUAUCACUGAAGAGGAUGUGAAGGAGGCUAUCUUUGCCAUGCCUGGGGACAAGGCCCCGGGUCCUGAUGGUUUCACCGGCGCCUUUUUCAAGUCGUGUUGGAGCACAAUAAAGGGGGACAUUAUGAUGUGUUGGAAAUAUACCCUAGAGGCAAUAAUAAAAGUAUUAUUAUUAUAUUUCUCUGUUCAUGAUAAUUGUCUUUAUUCAUGCUAUAACUGUAUUAUCCGGAAAUCGUAAUACAUGUGUGAAUAAUAGACACCAACAUGUCCCUAGUAAGCCUCUAGUUGACUAGCUCGUUGAUCAACAGAUAGUCAUGGUUUCCUGACUAUGGACAUUGGAUGUCAUUGAUAACGGGAUCACAUCAUUAGAAGAAUGAUGUGAUGGACAAGACCCAAUCCUAAACAUAGCACAAGAUCGUAUAGUUCGUUUGCUAGAGUUUUCCAAUGUCAAAUAUCUUUUCCUUUGACCAUGAGAUCGUGUAACUCCCGGAUACCGUAGGAGUGCUUUGGGUGUACCAAACGUCACAACGUAACUGGGUGACUAUAAAGGUGCACUACAGGUAUCUCCGAAAGUGUCUGUUGGGUUGACACUGAUCAAGACUGGGAUUUGUCACUCCGUGAGACGGAGAGGUAUCACUGGGCCCACUCGGUAAUGCAUCAUCAUAAUGAGCUCAAAGUAACCAAGUGUCUAGUCACUAGAUCAUGCAUUACGGUACGAGUAAAGUGACUUGCCGGUAACGAGAUUGAACGAGGUAUUGGGAUACCGACGAUCGAAUCUCGGGCAAGUAACAUACCGAUUGACAAAGGGAAUUGUAUACGGGGUUGCUUGAAUCGUCGACAUCGUGGUUCAUCCGAUGAGAUCAUCGUGGAGUAUGUGGGAGCCAACAUGGGUAUCCAGAUCCCGCUGUUUGUUAUUGACCGGAGAGUCGUCUCGGUCAUGUCUGCAUGUCUCCCAAACCCGUAGGAUCUACACACUUAAGGUUCGGUGACGCUAGGGUUGUAGGGAUAUGUAUAUGCAGUAACCCGAAUGUUGUUCAGAUUCCCGGAUGAGAUCCCGGACGUCACGAGGAGUUCCGGAAUGGUCCGGAGGUAAAGAUUUAUAUAUGGAAAGUCCUAUUUCGGCCAUCGGGACAAGUUUCGGGGUCAUCAAUAUUGUACCGGGACCACCGGAAGGGUCCCGGGGGUCCACCGGGUGGGGCCACCUGUCCCGGGGGGCCACAUGGGCUGUAGGGGGUGCGCCUUGGCCUACAUGGGCCAAGGGCAUCAGCCCCAAGAGGCCCAUGCACCUAGGGUUUCAAGGAGGAAGAGUCCUAGGAGGGGAAGGCACCUCCUAGGUGCCUUGGGGAGGAGGGAUUCCUCCCCCUUGGCCGCACCACCCUAGGAGAUUAGAUCUCCUAGGGCCCCCCCUUGGCCCUCCUAUAUAUAGUGGGGGGUAUGGGGGACUUCUUACCUUUGCCUUUGGUUGCCUCCCUCUCUCUCUCCAACACCUCCUCCUCCUCCAUAGUGCUUGGCGAAGCCCUGCCGGAGUACUGCAGCUCCAUCAACACCACGCCGUCGUGCUGCUGCUGGUGCCAUCUCCCUCAACCUCUCCUUCCCCCUUGCUGGAUCAAGAAGGAGGAGACGUGGCUGUUCCGUACGUGUGUUGAACGCGGAGGUGCCGUCCGUUCGGUGCUAGGAUCUCCGGUGAUUUGGAUCACGUCGUGUACGACUACCUCAUCCCCGUUCUUUGAACGCUUCCGCUCGCGAUCUACAAGGUACGUAGAUGCAUCUAAUCACUCGUUGCUUGAUGAACUCAUAGAUGGAUCUUGGUGAAACCGUAGGAAAAUUUUUGUUUUCUGCAACGUUCCCCAACAGUGGCAUCAUGAGCUAGAUCUAUGCGUAGUUCUCUUGCAUGAGUAGAACACAAUUUGUUGUGGGCGUUGAUGUUGUCAACUUUCUUGCCGCUACUAGUCUUAUCUUGCUUCAACGGUAUUGUGGGAUGAAGCGGCCCGGACCAACCUUACACGUACGCUUACGUGAGACCGGUUCCACCGACUAACAUGCACAAGUUGCAUAAGGUGGCUGGCGGGUGUCUGUCUCUCCUACUUUAGUUGGAGCGGAUUCGAUGAAAAGGGUCCUUAUGAAGGGUAAAUAGAAGUUGACAAAUCACGUUGUGGCUUUCACGUAGGUAAGAAAACGUUCUUGCUAGAACCCUACUUCAGCCACGUAAAACUUGCAACAACAAUUAGAGGACGUCUAACUUGUUUUUGCAGCAAGUGCUUUGUGAUAUGAUAUGGCCAAAGUUGUGAUGAAUGAUGAAUGAUCUAUAUGUGAUGUAUGAGAUGUUCAUGCUAUUGUAAUAGGAAUCACGACUUGCAUGUCGAUGAGUAUAACAACCGGCAGGAGCCAUAGGAGUUGUCUUUAUUUUUGUAUGACCUGCGUGUCAUUGAGAAACGCCAUGUAAAUUACUUUACUUUAUUGCUAAACGCGUUAGCCUUAGUAGUAGAAGUAAUAGUUGGCGAGCAACUUCAUGAAGACACAAUGAUGGAGAUCAUGGUGUCAUGCCGGUGACAAGAUGAUCAUGAAGCCCCAAGAUGGAGAUCAAAGGAGCUAUGUGAUAUUGGCCAUAUCAUGUCACUAUUAUUAUUUGAUUGCAUGUGAUGUUUAUCAUGUUUUGCAUCUUGUUUGCUUAGAACGACGGUAGUAAAUAAGAUGAUCCCUCAUAAUAAUUUCAAGAAGUGUUCUCCCCUAACUGUGCACAGUUGCUAAAAUUCGUCGUUUCGAAGCACCACGUGAUGAUCGGGUGUGAUAGAUCCUUACGUUCACAUACAAUGGGUGUAAGACAGUGUUACACAUGCAAAACACUUAGGGUUGACUUGACGAGCCUAGCAUGUGCAUAGACAUGGCCUCGAAACACAGAAGACCGAAAGGUCGAGCAUGAGUCGUAUAGAAGAUACGAUCAACAUGAAGAUGUUCACCGACGUUGACUAGUCCGUCUCACAUGAUGAUCGGACACGGCCUAGCUAACUCGGAUCAUGUUAUACUUAGAUGACUGGAGGGAUGUUAAGUGAGAGUUCAUUGAAUAAUUUGAUUAGAUGAACUUAAUUAUCAUGAACAUAGUCUAAAAUCUUUACAAUAUGUAUUGUAGAUCAAAUGGCCAACGUAGUCCUCAACUUCAACGUGUUCCUAGAGAAAACCAAGCUGAAAGACGAUGGCAGCAACUACACGGACUGGGUCCGGAACCUGAGGAUCAUCCUCAUAGCUGCCAAGAAAGAUUAUGUCCUACAAGCACCGCUAGGUGAUCCACCCGUCCCACAGAACCAAGACGUUAUGAACGCUUGGCAGACACGUGCUGAUGACUACUCCCUCGUUCAGUGCGGCAUGCUUUACAGCCUAGAGCCGGGGCUCCAAAAGCGUUUUGAGAGACAUGGAGCAUAUGAGAUGUUCGAAGAGCUGAAAAUGGUUUUUCAAGCUCAUGCCUGGAUCGAGAGAUAUGAAGUCUCCGACAAAUUCUUCAGCUGUAAGAUGGAGGAAAAUAGUUCUGUCAGUGAGCACAUACUCACUAUGUCUGGGUUACAUAACCGCUUGACUCAGCUGGGAGUUAAUCUUCCGGAUGAUGCGGUCAUUGACAGAAUCCUCCAGUCGCUUCCACCAAGCUACAAAAGCUUUGUGAUGAACUUCAAUAUGCAGGGGAUGGAGAAGACCAUUCCUGAAGUAUUUGCUAUGCUGAAAUCAGCAGAGGUAGAAGUCAAGAAGAAACAUCAAGUGUUGAUGGUGAAUAAAACCACUAAGUUCAAAAAAGGCAAGGGUAAAAAGAACUUCAAGAAGGACGGCAAGGGAGUUGCCGCGCCCGGCAAGCAAGCUGCCGGGAAGAAAUCAAAGAAUGGACCCAAGCCUGAGACGGAGUGCUUUUAUUGCAAAGGGAAGGGUCACUGGAAACGGAACUGCCCCAAAUACUUAGGGGACAAGAAGGCCGGCAACACCAAAGGUAUAUUUGAUAUACAUAUAAUUGAUGUGUACCUUACCAGUACUCGUAGUAACUCCUGGGUAUUUGAUACCGGUGCCGUUGCUCAUAUUUGUAACUCACAGCAGGAGCUGCGGAAUAAACGGAGACUGGCGAAGGACGAGGUGACGAUGCGCAUCGGGAAUGGUUCCAAGGUCGAUGUGAUCGCCGUCGGUAUGCUGCCUCUACAUUUACCUACGGGAUUAGUUUUGAACCUCAAUAAUUGUUAUUUAGUGCCAAGUUUGAGCAUGAACAUUGUAUCAGGAUCUCGUUUAAUUUGAGAUGGCUACUCAUUUAAAUCCGAGAAUAAUGGUUGUUCUAUUUAUAUGAGAGAUAUGUUUUAUGGUCAUGCUCCGAUGGUGAAUGGUUUAUUCUUUAUGAAUCUCGAGCGUAAUGCUGCACAUAUUCAUAGUGUGAGUACCAAAAGAUGUAAGAUUGAUAAUGAUAGUCCCACAUACUUGUGGCACUGCCGUCUUGAUCACAUAGGUGUCAAACGCAUGAAGAAGCUCCAUACUGAUGGACUUUUAGAGUCUCUUGAUUAUGAAUCAUUUGACACGUGCGAACCAUGCCUCAUGGGUAAAAUGACCAAGACUCCGUUCUCAGGAACAAUGGAGCGAGCAACCAACUUAUUGGAAAUCAUACAUACUGAUGUGUGCGGUCCAAUGAGUGUUGAGGCUCGCGGUGGCUAUUGUUAUGUUCUCACCCUCACUGAUGACAUGAGUAGAUAUAGGUAUGUCUACUUAAUGAAACACAAGUCCGAGACCUUUGAAAAGUUCAAGGAAUUUCAGAGUGAGGUUGAGAAUCAACGUGACAGGAAAAUCAAGUUCCUACGAUCAGAUCGUGGAGGAGAAUACUUGAGUCACGAGUUUGGCACACUUAAGAAAAUAUGGAAUAGUUUCACAACUCACGCUGCCUGGAACACCUCAGCGUAAUGGUGUGUCCGAAUGUCGUAAUCGCGAUCUAUGAUGUCUCUUGCCGAUUUACCGUUAUCUUUUUGGGGCUAUGCUUUAGAGACUGCCGCAUUCACUUUAAAUAGGGCUCUGUCGAAAUCCGUUGAGACGACACCGUUUGAAUUAUGGUUUGGGAAGAAACCUAAGCUGUCGUUUCUAAAAGUUUGGGGAUGCGAUGCUUAUGUCAGGAAACUUCAACCUGAAAAGCUCGAAUCCAAAUCGGAAAAAUGCGUCUUCAUAGGAUACCCUAAAGAAACUAUUGGGUAUAUCUUCUACCUAAGAUCCGAAGGCAAGAUAUUUGUUGCCAAAAAUGGGUCCUUUCUAGAGAAAGAGUUUCUCUCGAAGAAGUAAGUGGGAGGAAAGUAGAACUUGAUGAAGUAUUACCUCUUGAACCGGAAAAUGGCGCAACUCAAGAAAAUGUUUCUAAGGUGCCUGCACCGACUAGAGAGGAAGUUAAUGAUGAUGAUCAAGAUACUUUUGAUCAAGCUCCUGCUGAAAUUCGAAGGUCCACAAGGACACGUUCCGCACCAGAGUGGUACGGCAACCCUGUCUUGGAAAUCAUGUUGUUAGACAACGGUGAACCUUCGAACUAUGAAGAAGCGAUGGCGGGCCCGGAUUCCGACAAAUGGCUAGAAGCCAUGAAAUCCGAGAUAGGAUCCAUGUAUGAAAACGAAGUAUGGACUUUGACUGACUUGCCCGUUGAACGGCGAGCCAUAGAAAAUAAAUGGAUCUUUAAGAAGAAGACAGACGCGGAUGGUAAUGUGACCAUCUAUAAAGCUCGGCUUGUCGCUAAGGGUUAUCGACAAGUUUAAGGGGUUGACUACGAUGAGACUUUCUCACCGGUAGCGAAGCUAAAGUCUGUCCGAAUCAUGUUAGCAAUUGCCGCGUUCUACGAUUAUGAAAUAUGGCAAAUGGACGUCAAAACGGCAUUCCUUAAUGGUUUCCUUAAGAAAGAAUUGUAUAUGAUGCAACCGGAAGGUUUUGUCGAUCCUAAGAAUGCUGACAAGAUGUGCAAGCUCCAACGCUUGAUUUAUGGGCUGAUGCAAGCAUCUCGGAGUUGAAACAUUCGCUUUGAUGAGAUGAUCAAAGCGUUUGGGUUUACGCAGACUUAUGGAGAAGCCUGCGUUUACAAAAAAGUGAGUGGGAGCUCUGUAGCAUUUCUCAUAUUAUAUGUAGAUGACAUACUUUUGAUGGAAAAUGAUAUAGAACUUUUGGACAGCAUUAAGGCCUACUUGAAUAAGAGUUUUUCAAUGAAGGACCUUGGAGAAGCUGCUUAUAUAUUAGGCAUCAAGAUCUAUAGGGAUAGAUCGAGACGCCUCAUAGGUCUUUCACAAAGCACAUACCUUGAUAAGAUUUUGAAGAAGUUCAAAAUGGAUCAGUCCAAGAAAGGGUUCUUGCCUGUUUUGCAAGGUGUGAGAUUGAGCUCGGCUCAAUGCCCGACCACGGUAAAAGAUAAAGAAGAGAUGAGUGUCAUCCCCUAUGCUUCAGCCAUAUGAUCUAUUAUGUAUGCCAUGCUGUGUACCAGACCUGAUGUAAACCUUGCCGUAAGUUUGGUAGGAAGGUACCAAAGUAAUCCCGGCAAGGAACACUGAACAACGGUCAAGAAUAUCCUGAAGUACCUGAAAAGGACAAAGGACAUGUUUCUCGUUUAUGGAGGUGACGAAGAGCUCGUCGUAAAGGGUUACGUCGACGCUAGCUUUGACAUAGAUCUGGAUGACUCUAAGUCACAAACCGGAUACGUGUAUAUGUUGAAUGCUGGAGCAGUGAGCUGGUGCAGUUGCAAGCAGAGCGUCGUGGCGGGAUCUACAUGUGAAGCGGAGUACAUGACAGCCUCGAAGGCAGCACAUGAAGCAAUAUGGGUGAAGGAGUUCACUACCGACCUAGGAGUCAUACCUAAUGCGUCGGGGCCAAUCAAACUCUUCUGUGACAACACUGGAGCUAUUGCACUUGCCAAGGAGCCCAGGUUUCACAAAAAGACAAGGCACAUCAAGCGUCGCUUCAACUCCAUUCGUGAAAAUGUUCAAGAUGGAGACAUAGAGAUUUGUAAAGUACAUACGGACCUGAAUGUAGCAGAUCCGUUGACUAAACCUCUCACUAGGGCAAAACAUGAGCAACACCAGAAUUCCAUGGGCGUUCGAUUCAUAACAAUGUAACUAGAUUAUUGACUCUAGUGCAAGUGGGAGACUGUUGGAAAUAUGCCCUAGAGGCAAUAAUAAAAGUAUUAUUAUUAUAUUUCUCUGUUCAUGAUAAUUGUAUUUAUUCAUGCUAUAACUGUAUUAUCCGGAAAUCGUAAUACACGUGUGAAUAAUAGACACCAACAUGUCCCUAGUAAGCCUCUAGUUGACUAGCUCGUUGAUCAACAGAUAGUCAUGGUCUCCUGACUAUGGACAUUGGAUGUCAUUGAUAACGGGAUCACAUCAUUAGGAGAAUGAUGUGAUGGACAAGACCCAAUCCUAAACAUAUCACAAGAUCGUAUAGUUCGUUUGCUAGAGUUUUCCAAUGUCAAGUAUCUUUUCCUUUGACCAUGAGAUCGUGUAACUCCCGGAUAUCGUAGGAGUGCUUUGGGUGUACCAAACGUCACAACGUAACUGGGUGACUAUAAAAGUGCACUAUAGGUAUCUCUGAAAGUGUCUGUUGGGUUGACACGGAUCAAGACUGGGAUUUGUCACUCCGUGAGAUGGAGAGGUAUCACUGGGCCCACUCGGUAAUGCAUCAUCAUAAUGAGCUCAAAGUGACCAAGUGUCUAGUCACUAGAUCAUGCAUUACGGUACGAGUAAAGUGACUUGCCGGUAACGAGAUUGAACGAGGUAUUGGGAUACCGACGAUUGAAUCUCGGGCAAGUAACAUACCGAUUGACAAAGGAAAUUGUAUACGGGGUUGCUUGAAUCGUCGAUAUUGUGGUUCAUCCGAUGAGAUCAUCGUGGAGUAUGUGGGAGCCAACAUGGGUAUCCAGAUCCCGCUGUUGGUUAUUGACCGGAGAGUCAUCUCAGUCAUGUCUGCAUGUCUCCCGAACCCGUAGGGUCUACACACUUAAGGUUCGGUGACGCUAGGGUUGUAAGGAUAUGUAUAUGCAGUAACCCGAAUGUUGUUCGGAGUCCCAGAUGAGAUCCCGGACGUCACGAGGAGUUCCGGAAUGGUCCGGAGGUAAAGAUUUAUAUAUGGGAAGUCCUAUUUCGGCCAUAAGGACAAGUUUCGGGGUCAUCGGUAUUGUAUCGGGACCACCGGAAGGGUCCCAGAGAUCCACCGGGUGGGGCCACCUGUCUUGGGGGGCCACAUGGGCUGUAGGGGGUGCGCCUUGGCUUACAUGGGCCAAAGGCAUCAGCCCCAAGAGGCCCAUGCGCCUAGGGUUUCAAGGAGGAAGAGUCCUAGGAGGGAAAGGCACCUCCUAGGUGCCUUGGGGAGGAGGGAUUCCUCCCCCUUGGCCGCACCAUCCUAGGAGAUUAGAUCUCCUAGGGCCGCCCCCCCUUGGCCCUCCUAUAUAUAGUGGGGGAUAUGGGGGACUUCUUACCUUUGCCUUUGGUUGCCUCCCUCUCCCUCUCCAACACCUCCUCCUCCUCCAUAGUGCUUGGCGAAGCCUUGCCGGAGUACUGCAGCUCCAUCAACACCAUACCGUCGUGCUGCUGCUGGUGCCAUCUCCCUCAACCUCUCCUUCCCCCUUGCUGGAUCAAGAAGGAGGAGACGUGGCUGUUUCGUACGUGUGUUGAACGCGGAGGUGCCGUCCGUUCGGUGCUAGGAUCUCCGGUGAUUUGGAUCACGUCGUGUACGACUACCUCAUCCCCGUUCUUUGAACGCUUCCCCUCAUGAUCUACAAGGUACGUAGAUGCAUCUAAUCACUCGUUGCUUGAUGAACUCAUAGAUGGAUCUUGGUGAAACCGUAGGAAAUUUUUUGUUUUCUGCAACGUUCCCCAACAUGAUGGCCAUUAGACACUUCUCUGGUCUUCAUGCCUCCCACUUUCACUGGUUAAACUCUGCGGAUGUCGCCCUCAUCCCAAAGAAAGGUGGUGCUGAGGAUAUUUCAGACUUUUGCCCCAUUAGCCUUAUACAUGCCAUUGCGAAGAUUAUAGCUAAAGUCAUGUCCAACCGAUUAGCCCCCACAUGAAUGAUCUUGUUUCUCAAGCCCAAAGUGCCUUCAUCAAAAGGAGAUGCAUUCAUGAAAACUUCAUGUAUCUGGCAAGACGUUUCCACCGCAACAGAAUGCCCGCUCUGCUAUUCAAGCUUGACAUUAAAAAGGCCUUCAACUCAGUUAGAUGCGAUUACCUCCUUGAGCUGCUAAGCCACCUGGGAUUCCCUCCACGUUUGGGGUUGGGUCUCGACCCUUUUGUUCUCUGCGUCGUCGCGGGUUCUGCUCAACGGUGUUCCUGGCUGCCACAUCCCGCUUGGCCAGGGGCUGAGACAGGGAGAUCCAAUGUUCCCUCUUCUCUUUGUGCUUGCCAUCGACCCUCUUCACCAUAUACUUCGAAAGGCCACUGAUCAAGGCAACCUACACCCGCUUGGCGGUAAUGCCAUGGUGAUCCAUGCCUCGCUUUAUGCGGAUGAUGCUGCUGUGUUCCUUGCGCCUAUUAAAGUUGAUGUCAAUUUUUUCACGGACUCCCUUGCGUGGUUUGGGGAGGUCACUGGUUUGAUCACGAACUGCUCUAAAAGUUUGGCUGCUCCAAUUCGGUGUGGAAACUUAGACCUUGAUGAUAUGUUGCAUUCCUUUUCGGCUAGCCGCUCAUCAUUCCCCAUGAAAUACCUCGGUUUGCCUCUAUCGGUUAAAGGCAUGAAGCGCAUCAUCCACUUCCAGCCGCUCGAAGAUAAGAUCGCUACCCAGCUCACCCCUUGGCUUGGCAAACUAAUGACUGCUCCGGGCAGAGCGGUACUGGUCAAGUCGGUCAUCACGGCCAUUGCCAUUUAUUACAUGACAGCGCUAAAUCUUCCAGUUCAGGUCAUGAAAAAGAUUGAUUCCCUUCGACGAGCUUUCCUAUGGGCUGGGUGUGAUAAGGUCACUGGUGGCAAUUGCAAGAUCAAUUGGGAGGAGGUGUGCAAGUCCAAGGCUCAUGGUGGCCUAGGUAUUUUGAAUCUGGACAAAUUUGCUACAGCUCUUAGAAUCCGCUGGCUUUGGGCAGAGUGGGUGGAUCCGGUUAAGCCUUGGGUUCAUCUGGGAAACCCCUUUGAUGAAAAUGAUAAAGAUAUCUUCGCGGCCGCCACCAAGGUGUUCGUUGGGGAUGGCAUUCGUGCCUCCUUCUGGGAAUCUGCAUGGCUAGAUGGGAUCAGGCCCAAAGACAUAGCACCACAUAUUUUUGAGAUAUCCAAGAAAAGGGGUUGUUCGGUCCACAAAGCUUUGCAGGACAACUUUUGGAUCUCCAAAGUGAAUACCGUUGAAAUCACCAAGGUCAGUCAUCUUACUGAGUUCGUCAACCUUUGGGGAAAGAUUUCACAUGUUCAUCUCCGCUCGGACGUGCCAGAUUCUAUUUCCUGGAAGCUCUCUAAGGAUGGUCUUUAUUUGGCGGAGACGGCCUACAAAUCUCAAUUCCUUGGUUUAAUUGACACAGCAAUGCCCUUGAUGGUGUGGAAGAAUUGGGCUCCCCCAAAGUGCAAGUUCUUCGCCUGGCUUGUUAUCAAUAAUAGGAUUUGGACGGCAGACAUGCUACAUCGUCGGCGAUGGCCAAACUGUCACCUUUGCCCCCUAUGUAAGCAAGUUCAAGAGUCGGCGGCACACCUCCUAUUCCAAUGCCGCUACACCAUCAGAGUUUGGGUGAUGAUUAAAACUUGGCUUGGCCUUGUUGAUGUGCAUCCUACAGAUUGGGUGGCUGUAGGUUCCGUCAAGGAUUGGUGGCAACUCAAUGCCUGUAACAUCUCGCAAUCUCGAAGGGUGCUCAUCUCUUUAAUGAUGCUUAUCUCGUGGGAAAUUUGGAAGGAGAGAAUGCUCGUGUUUUCCGCAACACCCCGGUGCCGGUGGGGGUGAUUGUUGCUAAAAUCAAAGAGGAGGCUUCCAUGUGGUGCCUGGCAGGGGCAAAUUUUUUGAGUAAUGUAAUUCCGUGAGAGUAAUGCUUAGUAAUUCGGCCUCCAGCCUUUGGCCAAAACCUCUAUUUUCUUCUUGUUAAUCAAUGAAAAAUGGCAAAUAUGUUGCCUUGUUUCAAAAAAAUAAUAUCCAACGAUAAAUUUAGGGUAUAGUUAAUCAGUCAGGCUAAAUCCAAACUAAAAGACAUUGUUCACCGAAUUAUACUGCAAACAAAGUAAACAUAAAACGGUGCAGAGAGGGCAAGAUCACCACUUCUUGGGGCCCUUGCCCUUGCGGUCACCUCUGAGGUGGUCCGUCUUCUCCAUGUACGCGUCCGCGGCGGGAGGAUCGCCGUUCAAGCUGGUGGUGUCACUCUCCGAUGCAGAGGAGAUGUAGCCUGACAGUCGGCGGAUGGCGCGGCUCUGCUCCCGAGCGUGGCGUGCCGACUUCGCCUUGGCACUCUCCUUCUCCCUCGUGAGGCGCUCCAAAGCCUCGAGCCCGAGACAGAGCGCCUUUGCAUUCUUGCACUAGAGGCGCCUCGCGUCGGUCUCCGCCGUGGUAAGCGAGUGCCACAUCACCACGGAGGAGCGCCUCCUUCGGAUCCACGGGCAUAGAGUGUGCGUGCUGCCAGGGCAGUGCCGCAGCCGGAGGGAAAGGGGAGGGGAGCGCCCUGCUCCGGAUCUAGAGCAGGGCAGAGCGAGACGUGCAAGCGCGGGCUGCAUUGCUGCACGGCGCGAUCCGGUGGAGGUGACGGCAAACGCCACUGAGCUCGAGCUUUCGUCGGUGUCCGGCCGCAACCGCUCGAUGGAGAUGCAGAGCGCGAGUUGCUCAUCGUUAGGCGCAUCGUUGCCCGAGUCCUCCUCCUUCACGAGGCCGUCCCAGUCCAUGGGAUUGGUCUUGUUGUCGGACUCAUCGCUGGACUUGGCCAUGGCGGAGGACGCCGAGAUAUUCGGGUGAGUAAUGGAGAAGACGAGAGGGGAGCGAAGAGGGCGAGUGGACUGAGAUCGACUAGAGUUCGACCGAGAGAGUGGGGGUUUUGUGGGGACUGUGGUGGGGCGACACGGUCCAUAGUGAGUCAGGCCUAUGUGGCGGGCCUUCCCAUAUCCGUCCCAGACAUUGUCCGGAUAUGGAGAGUGCCGGUGAGGCUGGGCAUUUAGGCCGAAUAUGGGUAGCCCGGUUGGGCAGGGGCGGAUCCACCAUGGGGCAUGGGUGUACAGAUGUACACCCAAAUUUUUGUGAUGAAAAUUCGUAUAUAGGAAUAUACAUAUUAUUCUAUAUGGCAGUAUAGGCCCAAAUAUGCUCAGGUCAGUCUUCAAGCGCAGCCCACUAGCCCGGUAGCAAACCAGCCACUUCUGUCCACGCACGCACGAGACGAUAGAAACUCACGCAGCCGCCAGCCUGUUUCCUCGUCCCACUGAGCGCAGGUCCUGGGUUCUAACCCUAGCAGGCUAGCAUGCUUCUUCUUUCCACGGGCCAGGCGGCGGCGCGAACCUCUGCCAAUGGUGAGCCACGGCCAGGCGAGGGAGCCACCCAUGGUUUGCGCGGGGAUGCGUGCAGUAUCGGGCAGUGCCCGCCGCCGCCGGUGGUGGGGAGGGGGGAGACGUGGAUGGGAUGCAUCGCGGCGACGGCCCCCGCGAUGGUCAACGACGAGGAGUGGAGCAUACCAGUGUAGAAAUGGGCUCCAACAAUCCCAAUCUGUAAGCCUAAGGUGAUCCAAUCCUUAAAUUGCAAUCGUUGAUUUGUUAAUACGAUUCAUUGUGAAAUCCCCAAUUGAAUGUGAAGCCGCUAUUCGGAUUCAGAGAGAAAUAGCUGUAGAUGACAUUGAGGAGUAAGAUUUUGUACCCGGUUUUGUCGUGAAAAUGAAAUUGGCUUCUGUAUUGGGUUGCAAAAAAAAUAAAAUUGAACACCCAAUAUUGAAUUCCUGGAUCCGCCACUGUGGUUGGGUGUCUCUUUUUGAUCCGGACAGUGACCGAGCAGCUCGUCCGGGCCCUCGUUUAGGGCAGACAUGGGUCCGGUUGUAACAGUUUCAAUUUUCAAGUUUGUGCACCAAGAUGGACCCACAACACAAGUUUAAGUAGUGGCGUUUGGUGCGCUAAUUUGCAAAGAGUUCACAUGUGGUAUUUGGUUAGCCCAAUUUGCAGAUAGCUCACAUGCAUGUUUGGUGCGCUGCCUGUUGCUAAUAUUUGUGAUAGCUGCAGCGUGUUGGACUCUUGUUUCGCUAUGUACAUGUGAUCUUAUAUGAACGAGUACCCGACAUCCAUGAGACGGAGUGCAGUGUAGCCCUCUCCCGCACCAUAUUAUUAUGAUCCCUGUGCGUCGAACUAGUAGUAAUUUUGUAGCAACAAGAGGAUUGGGGAUUUACCUUUGACGGGGGAAGGAUUUGACACUUUGAGCCCAGACCCUGCUAGCUAGGAUCUGAUCAUUGGGCGCUCAGGAUGCAUUGGCCAUCCCACUGCUGGCUGCGCGUCUCCGCACUUGUGAGUUGUGACGGCCUGCGCCGGCCUCUGUCUGCCUUGCCACAGUGCAGCCGGCCUGCCGCUCCUCGCCUCGCUCGCUCGCCGAAUCAAUCAGCUGCAUCAAGGACGAAGCAAAACAUGAGCACAAGGGAAGGGACGAUGUGCAGAAAUGAAGCAAAAUAUAUGCCGACUCACCCAAAUGACAAGGCAAGUCGGCCGGUGGUAGGAGAGCCGGCCGCCCGCCGCCAUGGAGACAUGCAUCUAGUGCAGUCUGGACUGAGACUGCACUAGAUGCAGCCUGGCGGACGUGCGCCGCCUAGUGCAGCUCGAGCUGCCGGGCACCGCAGGUUCAUCCGAUGCGAUGCGCUCUUGUGCCGGCCGCCGGCCGCGCUGCGCUCACGAUCAUUGAUUCCCCGCGUGCGUCGCUGCCCUCGCUCGCACGACCAUCUAUCUUCCUUCCCACCGGUGGUGUGGUGUCGAGGAGGCCAGCUGCCGCGUAGGGCGAGAGCAGCGUGUUGCGCAGCGCACGGCACGUGUCCCCACGUGGCAUUUCGUCCAACACCUGUCUGUGUAUGUCUGGCGAAUUCUUGGCGUACAAGGAGAUGUGUGCCAACACACCGAUAGGAUUUCACAAAAGAAGAAGCACACAGCUAGCGGCACUUGUCACCUCCAGGUGUGAUCGAUUUUGUACCAAUUUGAACCCCGACUAGCAGGUGGUUGCAAUUUUCGAGUUUGUGCACCAACAUGGACCCACAACACAAGUUUAAGUACCCUAACGUAAUUGACUAGAUGGUCACAAUUUACGAAGAUGCUUAAAGAUUCCGGAAAACACUUUUUUUUGGAAAUUCUGAUUAUUUUCACAAGUUCAUAUAGAUGCUACUAGGUAGCUUAGGACGGAGAUUUGGUGAACAUGGUUCCAUGCGCACCCUUUACGAAUAGUAAAUCCAAAAAAAUAGUAGAAAAAUAAAAAAAUCUGAAACUUUUUUUAAUGUACAUAGUUAACCGGUAUACUUGGCGUACGAAGUUUCAUGAAGAAAUCACACUCGUGGUAAUCUGGGCAAAAAUGACAAAAUCAAAGCUAUACUAAAAAACAGAGAUGAUUACAUGAUAGUACCACACUUGGGGCGGUGGUGGCGAAUUGGUACCAUUUUUGGAAAUUUUUACGUGUCAGUACCACGUUUGGGUCGAACCGUUGCAAAUCAAGCUAAUCUUCGUAUUUCUACGUAUUGACGCUGGAACUGACCACCCGGGCCCGCGCGUCAGCUGCCGCGCUGGCGAAUCGGCACCCGCCCGCUCGCUUGAUACGUGCGGUCCGGCUUGAACCGGACCGGCCUGUGCUCUGUCUCUCCCUCUCCUUUCUUCUCUUCCUCUGUUCGUCGACGAACCCUAGCUCACUCGCACGUCUCUACGGCGAUGGCGACAGCGACCUCGGGCGGUGGUGGCGGCGCCGGCAGCGACGGCGCAAACAUUCCCCUCUUCGGCAGUGGCGCGGCAGGAGGAAUCGAGGGGAGAUCUCCAAUCGAGGGCGGCGAUGGCUACUCGAGCUCUGAGUAUUCCAGCGACGACGACGAGUUCAUGGAGCCCACACUGUCCAUGGAGCAGCGGGUACGGCUGGCACAACAAUGGGUGGAGAACCCUAGCAAUAGCCACGGGCUGACCCACGGGCUCGGCGUCCUGUAAGUUUCUGUUUCUGUCUUUUUUUCUUCUUCUCAUUUAUUUUUGCUAAUUAGGGUUAUAGUGUACUGAUUAGGCAAAUUGCAUGUGAAUUGUAGUUUACAUGAAGACAUAUGGAAUGUUAGGAUCCAUUUUGACAAUAAUGAUCUGUUAGAGAGGAAGUUAAGUUGUUCAGAUGUGACAUAUUUGAAUAUGGUUGCAUUGAUGGAAACACAAGGCUUUAGUAUUGAUAAUUCACUGCUGUUUUACAUGGAGACCCCAGGAGAGCAGGGUUUGGAAUUGGUUGAUAGUAAUGUUAAAUUACAGUUGAUCAAGAGGCAGAAUGAGGAGAGUUUGGUGCUUAAUUUGCUAUUUAGGGCUUGUCCACCAGCUGUCAGUUUAGCACAAAAGGGUUUUGUAGAGAAGCAAAAAAGAUGCAAUUGUUUAUUCUGAGCCUGUGGUUUAUGAUCUGGCUGAUCCUCUUGUGUAUGCUGUUGAUCAGCAAGGUGUAGCUUAUGAAGGUCAGAGUAGUUGCUCUAUUGCAGCUGUAGGCCCUGCUGUUUUAACACAAGAGAGCAGGAGUGUUCUAAAUCCAAAGUUAAAAGAAGUUGUGGAAGAAGAACAAGAUGGCUAUGAUGGCAGUUAUGCAUCUUCAUCUGAAGGGCAAUAUGACAGUGACACUAACCCUUAUUAUAUUGGGGAUUUAAGGCCCAACUAUAAUGAGGAAAUGAAUGAUAAGCAAUAUGAGCCACUAUUCAAGUAUCACAGGAACUCAGAUAAGCGGAUCAUUGUGCAUUUCAAGAAUUCACAAUGCAAGUUCUGCAUUGUGGCGGCUGUUAUAAAAGGGGAAACUACUUUUGCAAUUAAGAAAAUGAGAUUACAACACACUUGCCCUAGUUCUACUGAAACAACCAGGGUAAGUGCCAAGUGGCUUGCAAAGCAAUAUGAGCCACUAUUCAGAUCUGAUGUCACUACUAGCAUACAUACACUUAUUGAUGCCUGCAUGAAAAGUAUGGUGUGGAUGUGCCCAAGGCUAUGGCAUAUAAGGCAAAAAACCUAGCUGUUGAGGCUAUGUUGGGAGAUCAUAAGAAGCAAUACCCAAGGCUGAGAGACUAUGCUCGGACUGUCAUGGAUACAAACCCUGGGAGUAGAGUUGUAGUCAGCACUGUAACUCAAAGAGCCACUGAAAAAAUCCCACAUCCAGGACCCAGAUUCCAUGCCAUAUUUUACUGCAUCAAUGGAGCAAGGGAGGGAUUUCUACAGGGGUGUAGACCAUUCAUUGGUUAGUUUAUUUUAACUUGUACACUACUUUGAUGUUGUUAGUUUCAAUAGCUUGCACAUAUAAAUGCAUUUAACAUGUUAUGUUUACUUCCUGUUUUAGGUAUUGAUGGAUGUUUUAUCAAGCUAACCACUGGUGCACAAAUCCUUGCUGCCACUGGUAGAGAUGGCAAUAACAACAUAUACCCACUGGCAUUUGGCAUUGUUGGACAAGAGGACAAAGCAAACUGGUGCUGGUUUCUACACCAACUGAAAAUUUGUCUUGGAGGAGAAGUUGGACAGUAUGGUCCAUAUACUAUAAUGUCUGACAGACAGAAGGUAUGUCUAUCCACCUUGCAUUUCCUGCUAAAUAUGUGUUUACAUGUGUAUUAGACAGUAGCUUAGCUGUAUAAAUUGUGUGCACCAGGGGCUACUGUUUGCAGUUGAUAGAGUUUUUCCUAACAGUCAUCAAAGAUUCUGCUUAAGACACAUAUAUGCAAACUUCCAAAAUGCUGGCUUUAGGGGGGAAGACCUUAAGAAGUGCAUGGAUAAUGUCAGUUAUGCAUAUAAUGAACACAAAUUUAAUAUAGCAAUGGAUGAUCUCAAAGCUGAGAGCGAGGAAGCUUGGCAGUGGCUUAGUGCAAUACCCAAGAAAACCCGGGCUAGGCAUGCAUUUGACACAAAUUGGAAGACUGACUUGGUUGUCAACAAUUUGUCGGAGGUGUUUAACAAGUACAUCCUAGAUCAUAGGAAAAAACCAAUAAGAACUAUGUGUGAUGGCAUAAAGGAUAAGUAGAUGGUUAGGUGGCACAGAAAUAGAGAGAGUGGAAAGGAAGCUAGAUGGGAGAUCACACCACAUUACAGUGAGAAGUUGGAGAUUGAGAAGGAAAGGGCCAGGUACUGCAAACCCAUUCAAGCAGGUGUUAACUUGUGGCAAGUAACUAGUGGGGAGCAAACACAUGCUGUCAAUUUGGAACUUGAAACCUAUGGUUGCAGAAAGUGGGACCUCAGUGGAGUCCCAUGUAACCAUGCCAUCUCAUCGAUUAACAAGGCAAAAAGGUUUCCAAAGGACUUUGUAAGCAAACUUUCCAAGAAACCAUAUUACUUGGCAGCAUAUGAACUAAUGAUAUAUCCUGUCCCUGGUGAGCAUGACUGGACAAAGACCCCAGGUCCAUACAUAGAACCUCCAGCAUUUAAAGUCAAGAAAGGAAGAAAGAAAGGGAAGAGGAUAAAGGGAAAAUUUGAAGUUCCAAAGCCAAAGUCCACCUCAAGAAUGGGGACAAUAACUUGUAGGAAUUGUGGAUUACAAGGGCAUAAAUACACAAGCUGCCUUAAACAGUUGAAACCCGAGUUGGCCUUAAGAAAGAACAAACAUAUGGUAAGCCCUUUGAACUAGUUCUUCACUUUGAUGUUUCUGUACAUUACCUUUGUCCCUUGUACAUUUCUUACUUGUAGUAUUAUUAAGUGUGUUUCCUUUGAAUUGUUUUCCAAGCCUGCUGCAAGGAAUUCACAAGGAAGAGGUGUUGCUCCUACAGCUCCUGCAGCAACACCUAGAGCUGCUUCAGCAACACCUAGAACUGCUUCAGCAACACCUAGAGCUUCUGCACCAACAACUAGAGCUCCUGCACCAACACCAACAGCUGGAAGAACUGGAAGUGCUGCUGGUAGAGGUGGUAGAAGUGGUGCUGGCAGAGGUGCUGGAAGAAGGGCUAGUGGUGGAAGAGGAUCUGGAAGAGCAUCUUCUAGUGCUCAAUCUUCUGCUGGGAGAGGUGCUCAUUCUUCAAGGCCUUUCUCUGCCCCAAGGCAGUAUGGUGCCUCAACUUCUAGUGCUCCUCCUCCACCAACUGAUGGCACACACACUGGAUGGAUGGCCUGGUUCAAUGCUAGUAGAGGUGGCAGAAGGUGAUGCAAACUUCUUCUGAUGCUACAAUGUGCACCUACUACAAUGUGGAAUGUUAUAUUUUGGUUUGAUGUCACUCCAGUAACUACUGCUGAUGCUUUAUUUUGGUUUGAUGCCACUACAGCAACUUGUGCUGAUGAUACAUUGUGCUUUAUUUUGCUUUGAUGAUAGAUCAGCAACUUGUAUUCAUGGUACAAUGUGUAUUAUUUAGAGUUUGAUGCCACUACAAUGUGUUUUAUUUUCACUACUAGGAAAAGGGCUAUAGAUGAUAUGGCCACUAAUGGCGCACCAGACAUGUGGUGCGCCACUACUAUAUAGUAAUGGCGCACCAUGAGUUGGUGCGCCAUUAGUGUGGUAGACACUAAUGGCGCACCAGACCCACGGUGCGCCAUUAGUAACAUUUUUUUUCCAAAAAUACUAAUGGCGCACCAGGGAAGAGUACGCCAUUACUAGUUUAACUAGUAAUGGCGCACCUCCAACACAGUGCGCCACUACUUUUUUUUUGCAAAACUACUAAUGGCGCACCUCAAGCUGGUGCGCCAUUAGUAACCAGGGUUACUAAUGGCGCAUUUGUGGGUGGUGCGCCAUUAGUAACCUCGGACCAGCUAGAUAUUUUGGACAACCACACCUACACACUCACUUUCCCCACUUCAUUCUCUCCACCUCCUCCUCCAAGCUUGUGUCGGCUGCCUCCUCUCCUCACCUCAUUUGCACCAUAGAUUCAUCAAAAUUAAGUGGUUAAAUUACCUUUUUUUGAUAGGUAAGUAAGGGGAAAGCUAUGUUUAUGUUGUAGAUCUACUUUUUUUCUCCCUCGCUCCAACAACGUGCACAUGCACUUUUUAUUGCCUUGCUAGAUCUAUGUAUGUUUGUGGUGUUGCAUAUGUUUGUGGUGUUGCAUAUAUGUUUGUGUUUGCAGGUACCGGUAUUUGAAAUGCGAUAGUUGCCAAUAUUUUGCAGGAAUGUUGAUUCAUUUCCGUUUCGGCAAGAAUUUUGGCACUAUGCAUUCGUUUUGGUCCUAUUUUUAGGGAAAGUCAUGCCAAAUUUUUUCUUGGUUCUAAAAUAUUGUUUUGCUCUACCCCGCAGGUGACCAUGGUCCGCACGAUGACCGAAGGCAUCAUGAAUAGGUUUUUGAGCUCCGCGAAGGUUGAGAUGCUUCAAAAGAACGAGACAGAGAUAAGAUGUCCGUGUCUAAGAUGCAAGCUGAAGAGCCUUAUUGCGGACCCGGAUUCCGGGCAGGUGCGGGACCACCUGCUCUUGCGUGGUUUCAUGGAUGGCUAUCGGUGGCAAGGUGAUGAAGAUGACUAUGAAGUCGUCCAUGGGGGCCGGGCAAGAAAUGAGGAAGGGCAGCAAGACAACCACCACGACGAGGGCGGCCGAGAAGACGAAGAAUCUCCAGGACAUGAUCACGACGGUGAUGCUGUACACAGUCAUCAUGUAGAAGAUGCCGGACAUGAUGAUGAGGAAGAUCAAGACGAAUGGCAUGAUCAUGAAGAUGAAGAUGCUGGAGCAGACAACGAUAGAGGCUGGGUGCAGGACCCUCAUAUUCAAGAGUUGCUUCUCAAGCAGACGGAUAACGCAAGAGCUGCCGCCCGAGAGAAAGCCAAGCUGGAUCAACUGGAGAUAGACGCGGUUACUCCAUUGUAUGAAGGAUGCAAGCCCGAGGAUACCCGCCUGAAAGUAACGCUCAUGGCUCUGGAGAUGAAGGUAAAACACAAAAUGACCGACGCAUGCUUCGACGAGAACAUGUCAUUCUGGCAUGAACGUUUUCCCAAGAGGAACAAGUGCCCGACCAGUUUCGAGGAGGCGAAGAAAAUCGUGUGUCCUCUGGAUUUACUGCACGUGAAAUACCAUGUGUGCAUGAACAAUUUCAUCAUUUAUCGGGACGAGCACGCGGAGUCUACCAUAUGUUCGGUGUGCGUCGUCACUCGAUACAAGAAGAGGAAGAAAGCUCCUCGAAAAGUGGUGUGGUACUUUCCGAUCACUCCUCGUCUGCAGCAGUAUUUCGCGGACCCUAAGGUAGCAAAGCUCCUGCGUUGGCACGCGGAUAGGGAGGAGAAGAAGCGAGAAGAUGACGGGAAUGAUCCGAAGAUAAAUAAAAAAGAAAAGAUGCUGAGUCACCCUAAGGAUGCGAGCCAGUGGCUAGCGUUGAAUUUCGAAGACCCAGAAUUUGGAAACGAUCCAAGGAACAUCAUGCUGGGCGCGAGCACUGAUGGAGUCAAUCCGUUUGGCAGCCAGAGAAGUACACAUAGCACCUGGCCUGUGUUUGUGUGGAUGUACAACCUCCCCCCUGGUUGUGCAUGAAGAGGAAGUACAUUCACAUGAGUAUGCUAAUUGAAGGGCCGAAACAACCAGGGAACGACAUCAAUCUGUAUCUGGAGCUGCUGAAAGAGGAGCUAGACACGCUGUGGAAAAUGCCAGCCAAUACGUGGGACGCCGCAGAGAAAGAAUAUUUCCCUAUGAGAGCCGCACUGCUCACGACGGUGCACGACUAUCUCGGUUACGGAUAUCUCGCGGGGCAGGUGGUCCACGGAUUUUCUGGAUGCGUCAGGUGCAUGGAUGACACAACGUAUCGCCAGCUAGAUAGUGAUCCCGGGUCUUCGAAAACCGUGUUCAUGAGACAUCGAAGGUGGCUUCGCGACGAUGACCCAUGGAGAAAACGCAAGGAUCUGUUCGAUGGUGAAACCGAACCCGAAGACGCUCGCGUACGAGGAGCGGCGAGGAAAUAGACGAGCUAUUGAAAAAUUGGAAAGAUUGCCUGUCGGUGUCAAAACUGGCGGAUCUCGGGUAGGGGGUCCCGAACUGUGCGUCUAGGCGGAUGGUAACAGGAGACGAGGGACACAAUGUUUUACCCAGGUUCGGGCCCUCUUGAUGGAGGUAAAACCCUACGUCCUGCUUGAUUAAUAUUGAUGAUAUGGGUAGUACAAGAGUAGAUCUACCACGAGAUCAAGGAGGCUAAACCCUAGAAGCUAGCCUAUGGUAUGAUUGUUGUAUGUUGAGAUUCUUGUCCUACAGACUAAAACCCUCCAGUUUAUAUAGACACCGGAGAGGGUUAGGGUUACACAAAGUCAGUUACAAACUUACAAUGGUAGGAGAUCUGAAUAUCCGCAUCGCCAAGCUUGCCUUCCACGCCAAGGAAAGUCCCAUCCGGACACGGGACGAAGUCUUCAAUCUUGUAUCUUCAUAGUCCAGGAGUCCGGCUGAAGGUAUAGUCCGGCCAUCCGGACACCCCCUAAUCCAGGACUCCCCAGUAGCCCCUGAACCAGGCUUCAAUGAUGACGAGUCCGGCGCGCAGAUUGUCUUUGGCAUUGCAAGGCGGGUUCCUCCUCCAAAUUCUUCAUAAAAGUUUGUAAACACUAAGAGUAGUGUCCGGCUCUACAAAAUAAGUUUCCACAUAUUGCCAUAGAGAUAAUAAAAUUAACACAAAUCUAAUCUGCUGACGUAUUCCGUAGCGUGACAUCAUACUACGGCCAAGCCUUUAUUCGAAUCGUUUUCACUUCUCCACCUCAGCGCGUUUUGCGAGGCGGUUUCCUUGGCACGUCUUGUCAAAGCAGAGAUCGUGUCCCCUUUAUUUACGGGAUUCUCAUCAAUAUGGACGUGGGUAACCCAAUCGUGCCCGUUUAGCAUGUUUUGUCGAUUAAAGGCGAGUCCCAAACGGUCACGGGGAGGGCUCUUGGUAUUCAACCUCUUAUAAAGAGACCAAGGCCUUACUCCUUUUUUCCAAUCUCAAACGAGUUCGCCCGUCGCCUCGAGUUCCAACACCCUAGGCCCCAGAUUCCAGGCGCUUUGGACCUUCGACAAUGUACGGUUAUGACCUUCAAGGCCGAUGGAGUGCCCUCCUCCGUCACGGAGGAGGACGUGCUAAAGUUGAGAGAGGCUAAGUUCUUGACCAGCGAAAUUCCGCAUAGGUUGCCUGCUCAAGGGCAGGCGGUUCCCAGUCCCCAGCCCGGUGAGAGCGUGGUGUUCAUAUCUCACUUCCUUCAGGGGUUAGGCUUCCCAAUGGACCCCUUUGUGAGGGGGCUACUGUUCUAUUAUGGGCUGGAAUUUCACGACUUAGCUCCGGAGUCCAUCCUCCAUAUUUCCUCAUUCAUCGUCGUGUGUGAAGCAUUCCUCCGUGUUACCCCUCACUUCAGAUUAUGGCUCAAGACCUUUAAAGUGGAGCCGAAGAUGAUCGAGGGACGGCACGCAGAGUGCGGAGGUGCUGUUAUAAGUAAGAUUGCUGAUGCUCCAUGGCCCGAGGGCUCUUUUCAAGAGGAGCUCGGCUUAUGGCAACAGGAGUGGUUCUAUAUCGCCGCUCCCAGGGGCACCAAAUGGGUAGCGCCGCCUGCCUUUCGCUCAGGUCCCCCACAACAUCUAGGGUCAUGGGUCAAUAAAGGCCUAGACUGGGGGCCAUCCCAGGACGUGCCUUUGUUGCAGGGCCGCAUCAGGGAUCUCUUGGAAAGAGACCUCAGCCUGGUCAAAGUGACGCAAGUCAUGCUGAUCUGCCGAACCCUGCCCGGCUGAAAGUGCAACUAUCCCUAGGUGGUUUUGGUAAUUCAUAACAACAUAUAGCUCAUUGAGCUAAUGCUAUUCCAAGAUGAUUAUUUCAGAAAAGCUCAAUGAUUGGCAUGGCAUGGAUGGUGAAAGUGGAACCCUCAAAAUGCUAAGGAUAAAGGAUUGGCUCAAGACUCCUCAUUUUACAUUUUAGUGAUCCAAGAUCACAUUGAGUCCAUAGGAAAAGCCAAUACUAUCAAGGAGGGAUGAGGUGUUGCUUAAUGAGCUUUUUGCUUCAUGUGCUUAAUGAUAUGCUCCAAAAUCCUCAGCUACUUUCCCAUAUCCACAAAUGACCUAAACCCUAAGCCAAACUCGGACCUACCGAUUCUUUCUGUCCGGCGCCACCGAGUUUCACUUGUCAUAGCCACUGCCAAACCCUAAGCAAAUCGGUUCUACCGAUAGGGAUCUCGGUAUCACCGAGAUGGGAUUGCAAUUUCUUUGUUUCCCUUUCGUAACUUUUCGGUCUCACCGAAAGAGCGGAUCGGUCCCACCGAGAUUGCAAUGUAAACUCUCUGUUUCCCUUUUGUAACAUUUCGGUCUCACCGAAAGAGCAAAUCGGUCCCACUGAGUUUACCUGACCAACUCUCUGGUUAGCUAAUUACCAAAAUCGGUCUCACCGAGUUUGUGUAAUCGGUCUCACCGAGAUUACAUUAUGCCCUAACCCUAACCAUAUCGGUCCUACCGAGUUGCAUGUUAGUCCCACCGAAAAUCUCUAACGGUCACUAGGUUUACUAUUUUGGUCCGACCGAGCUUGUUGAUUCGGUCCCACCGAGAUUGGUAAAUUGUGUGUAACGGUUGGAUUUUGUGUGGAGGCUAUAUAUACCCCUCCACCUCCUCUUCAUUCGUGGGAGAGAGCCAUCAGAACACAUCUACACUUCCAACUCAUAUGUUCUGAGAGAGAAUCACCUACUCAUGUGUUGAGACCAAGAUAUUCCAUUCCUACCAUAUGAAUCUUCAUCUCUAGCCUUCCCCAAGUUGCUUUCCACUCAAAUCUUCUUUCCACCAAAUCCAAAUCCUGUGAGAGAGAGUUGAGUGUUGGGGAGACUAUCAUUUGAAGCACAAGAGCAAGGAGUUCAUCAUCAACACACCAUUUUUUACUUCUUGGAGAGUGGUGUCUCCUAGAUUGGCUAGGUGUCACUUGGGAGCCUCCGACAAGAUUGUGGAGUUGAACCAAGGAGUUUGUAAGGGCAAGGAGAUCGCCUACUUCGUGAAGAUCUACCGCUAGUGAGGCAAGUCCUUCGUGGGCGAUGGCCAUGGUGGGAUAGACAAGGUUGCUUCUUCGUGGACCCUUCGUGGGUGGAGCCCUCCGUGGACUCGCGCAAUCGUUACCCUUCGUGGGUUGAAGUCUCCAUCAACGUGGAUGUAGGAUAGCACCACCUAUCUGAACCACGGGAAAAACAUCCGUGUCUCCAAUUGCGUUUGAAUUCUCCAAACCCUUCCCUUUACAUUCUUGCAAGUUGUAUGCUUUACUUUCCGCUGCCUGUAUACUCUUUGCAUGCUUGCUUGAAUUGUGUGAUGAUUUCUUGACUUGUCCUAAAGUGGCUAAAAUCUUCCAAGAACUAAAAUUGGGAAAAGGUUAAGUUUUUAUUUGGUCAAGUAGUCUAAUUAAUCACCCCCCCUUUAGACAUACUUCCGAUCCUACAAGUGGUAUCAGAGCUUUGGUCUCCAUUUGCUUUGAUUUCCAUAGCUUUUGGUGGUCAUAGCCUUGGUUUCACAACCUAGGAGAGUAUGGCGUCUAGCGAGGGAAAUUAUCACCGUAGAGGUCCUUACUUUGAUGGUACUAAUUUUGCUAGUUGGAAGCAUAAAAUGAAAAUGCAUAUUCUUGGACAUAACCCCGCCAUUUGGGCUAUUGUGUGUGUUGGUUUGUAAGGUGACUUCUUCGAUGGAAAAGAACCAAACCGUGAAGCUACCGCGGAUGAGUUGAAGAUGCUGCAAUACAACGCUCAAGCUUGUGAUAUUCUCUUCAAUGGAUUGUGCCCCGAAGAAUUCAACAAAAUCAGCCGUCUUGAGAAUGCAAAGGAAAUUUGGGAUACUUUGAUUGAUAUGCACGAAGGUACCGACUCCGUCAAGGAAUCCAAAUUGGAUGUGCUUCAAAGUCAACUUGACAAGUUCAAAAUGAAGGAUGUUGAAGGCGUCGCUGAAAUGUACUCUAGGCUUGCUCUCAUCACAAACGAGAUUGCCGGCUUAGGGAGUGAAGAGAUGACCGACAGAUUCAUCAUCAAGAAGAUUCUAAGAGCCUUGGAUGGAAAAUAUGACACCGUGUGCGCAUUGAUCCAAAUGAUGCCAAAUUACAAAGAUCUCAAGCCAACGGAGGUCAUUGGAAGAAUUGUUGCUCAUGAGAUGUCACUCAAAGAUAAAGAGGAACUUCACAACAAAUCAAGUGGUGCCUACAAAGCCUCAUGUGAAGCCCCCACAUCAUCGAGUGAGAAACAAAACUUCAACGAAGAAUUGAGCUUAAUGGUGAAAAACUUCAACAAGUUCUAUAAGAGUAGAAGCAAAGAUAGAAGCUCCAAGUCAAGGUCCUACAAUGACAAAAGAUCUUCUAGUCGAGAGCGAAACUGCUACAAUUGUGGAAGACCCAGACACUAUUCCAAUGAGUGUACGGCUCCCUACAAAAGAAGAGAAGAUUCUCCAAAAAUAAGAAGAAAAAGAGAAGAAUCACCACCAAGAGAGAGAAGGAGUAGAGAUGAUCGUUAUGAACGAAGACACUCACGGAGAAGCAAGGAUUCGGAAAGAAAGGAAAAAUCAUCAAGGAGCUACACAAAACGAAGACAUCAAGCUCAUGUUGGUGAAUGGGUAUCCGGCUCCGACUCCGACAACCACUCCGAGAGAAGUUAUCACUCCGAUUCCGAAUAUACUCAAGAUGAAGAUGUUGCCGGUCUAGCACUUGUGUCAACCAACUCCUACGACAUAUUUGACUCACCAAAUGAAGGAAUUGGAAUAUGCUUCAUGGCCAAAGGUCCUAAUGUAACACACCCCGAGUAUGUUGAUUUUAAUAGUGAUGAAGAUGACUUGUUAGGUGAUGAUGAUUUACUUGUUGACAACUCUAGUGAUGAAUACUAUGAUGAAACGUCAAUAAAUCAUGCUAAUCAAGAUAAAACGAAUGACAAUGAUAAGGAGAAAAUUGAGGCUCUAACUAAAGAACUAAACACUCUUAAGUUAUCUCAUGAAACUAUCUUCGAAGAUCAUCGAGAACUUUUAAGAGCUCAUGAGAAGUUACGCUUUGAAAAGCUCAAUCUUGAGCAAGAGCAUGAGUUUUUAAAGGCAAUCAAUGAUGAUCUCCGCAAGAAAAGUUCUUCUUACAUUGCCAAGCGUUUACUCUUAUCCACUUACAUGCCUCAAGUCAAGUCUAGUAACAUGAACAAGAAAGAUUCUUCCUCUAGUAGUAACAAUGAUCAUGUUAAAUACAGUAUUGUUGCUUCUAGUAGUUCUCUUGAUUCCACUAAUGAUUCUCUUAGCCAAGUUACACUUGAGCAAGAAAAUAGCUUAUUGAAGGGAAUUAUAGAGAAAGGAGUGUACAAAAGCCUUGCCGGGAGUAAGCAAUUCGAAGAAAUUGUACGCAAGCAAGGAAGGCACCGGAAGAAUCAAGGUGUUGGUUUUGAACGAAAGUUCAAUGCCAAUGGAGUUGAGUGGGAAGAAGAUCAAUACCCCAAGACAAAGUUUGUUCCUCAACAAGAGAAGUAUGAUCCUACUUCUUUCAAGGGGACACAAGCUCAAGAUGAUCUUCCACCACAAGACUACAAGCAAAAAGGCAAGGACAAGCUUCAAGAGGAAAUUGAUGCAUUUGAAGAAGCUCCUAAGACCUUAGUCAAGUGGAUUCCCAAGACUACUUCAAGUUCCACUUCAUCAAGUAUGACUACAAUUCCAAGGAUUCCCAUCAAGAUGGUGUGGAUCCAAAAGAAGAAGAACUAGAGAGUUCUUGAGGGUGACUCCGCCAACAUACUUCACUCUUAUCAUUUUGGCAAGAACAAGUGCAAUCAACUUCCACAUCUUGCACUAGUUCAAGGAGUCACAAACCCUCUUGUGGUAAGUCAAGGGACAAGGUAACCUAAAAGUUUUCAUGGACAUCAUCUUGUGUGUGCAUCACUCUAUGUCUAUGGAUAUCCUUGUUUGUUCCUUGUGGGACUAACCCAUGUAGGUAUUGAAAGUGCAAUUCACUCAAAAGGAUAGCUCCAAGUGAUCUACAUCAACAUUAAGCAUCCACAUCUUCAACAUCUACAUGAAGUCAUCAUCGACAAAACCCAAGGUUAGUUCAUCCCUCUUAGGGGGAAUAUCACAUCUAGGGGGAGCUUUACUCUAAGACUUGAGCUAAAGCAACUCUAAUGAUGUGAACACAACAAUGCUUUAUGUAAAAGUGGUAACCCCACUUGAGCUUAAACGAUGAGUAUGACCUAUGAUCAAGUGUUCUCAUUUCACUCCUAAGUCAAUAUACUCAUAUAUAGAUGACCUAGUCAUCGCCAAUUGCUUGAUAGAUGCUAGAAUUGGUUGUGCAUGCUUUGUCACAUAUUUAAAUUGCCAUUUUAUUGUGUGAGCAUGUUGGUUGCAUAUUUCACUCAUUCGAGGACAUCCACUUGUUGUUUUGAUUGAUUGGUUUUGUUUUCUCUUGCCUAGUGGAUGGACAAGAAUGCCUAAGAACCUCCUCUAGCUAUCUAUGCUUUUCUCGUCUCAAACUCUAUUCAUGCUACAUCACAAAAUUGAUCAAGUCAGAUUUGAACCACUCUGUGUGAGGAGCACUCGGAGUCCCCGAUUUGUCAUAGACUUAAACUUCCAAAACCUCUUUGUGAUUCUCGGUCUGACCGAUACCCUACUUUCGGUCCUACCGAGAUCAUUAAGUUGAUCUAUGUUUUUGAUCUCGGUGCAACCGAUUUGAACCAUUCGGUCACACCGAGUUGCAAUAACUGUAUAAAGUUUUGCAUCUCGGUGCCACCGAGUUGUUCCACUCGGUCACACCGACAGGGUCGGGCUAUAUAUAGACACGGGAAAAAAUUUGGAAAUUUCUCCGAACCCCUUCGCCCGCGCGAUAGCUCGCUCUGCCAACGUGGUCUCCGGAUCGUCUCCUCGCCGCCAGCCGCCUCCAGUCGCUGGUCUCCGUCGCCGUCAAUGGAAUUCAACCCCGCCGUUGCCGCCGUAGCGAGUCUCCGCCGAACUAGGGUAUGGACUCGAUCUUUGUGCUAUUCCCCAAUCUGAUUCCUAGCACAUUGUGAUCAUAUUGAUUCUAGCCACGUUUGAAACACUCCAAUCCAGUCAAAGCGAUUCGUAGAGUAGGUUUGAUUCGAAAAUUUUAGGGUUAGGUUUCCGCCGAAACCAUCUCGGACCCACCGAGUUGAAAAACUCGGUCCCACCGAUUUGGCUCAUGCCAUUGCACAAGUGAGACUCGGUCUGACCGGGAAUUACUAAUCGGUGUGACCGAUUUUGGAACUUUGUGAAACCCUAGCAGUCUCGGUGCCACCGAACUGUGACUCGGUCUGACCGAGUUCACUAGUUUAGGUUCCAAUACUGCUUCUGUAUCACCGAGUCUAAAAAUCGGUAGAUCUGAAAUGAUUUCUGUGGGAAACUAAAACUAAGAUUUUGAAUCAUUCUUUUGCAAAAAUCUCUGCAUUUUGUGAUGCUCAUCCACUCUACCUCAUCUAUAAAUUGUUCACAGGGUCAGCAGUCAGCUUGUUCAUCAUGUCAGAUCAGAGUGAUAGCCAGAACCUGUUAGAACAGCAAGUGCACAUGAGUGAGGGCACUAGUCCCUCCAGUUCUUCAGAUGAAGGAAGGAGGAGCACUCCCAGUAACUUGCCAAAAGCUGCCACCAGACAAAGGAAGAAAAGAACCUCAGAAUCAGAGGAUGAGGACUAUGUGGCAGAAGAGGAAGCUACUUCCAAGAGAGUUGUGCUCAAGAAGGAGUAUGGCUCAGCUGCAGCCAUCAAACCAGGAAUGCACAAAAAGGCACCUGCUAGGAGAGUUCCAACCUCCAAGCCUAGGAAGGCUGUUCCUGAAGAAACUAUAAAGUUCACCAUGGAAUCUGAAGAGGAAGAAAUUGGCCAGGACAAGAAAAAGAAGAGAGCCAGAACUACCACUGCCAGAGUUGUUGGCAAGCCUUCUAUGAGGAGAGACUCUUCUGAUGAUGAAGAAGAAGAGGUUGCUGCACCAACACCUAAGAUGCCAAAGCCGAUGGGUGAUGCUAUAAGAUCAGGGGCUACUGCAUCCAAGCCCAAGGAAGCACCCAAGGCUGCAUCAAAGGCCAAGACAGCUCCAAAGAGGAACACAAGGAGCAUACCAGCUGCUGAGAAGAACAAGGCCCCAGUGCCUGACAUUGCAGAAGAAGAGGAAGGACAAGUUCUCAGAAAGUUAAAGCCCAAGAUCCCAAACCACAAUGAUGCUCAUCCUGUGGCUGAGGACAUGAAGAUCAGAAGAGACUUAGGGCUGAGAAAGUGGAGAGCAGAAGAUCCAUAUGCUACCAGGAGGAGAACUGCUGUUGACUACAAGUUCCACACAAAGGAACAUCAGGACAUUUAUGAGACAGUCUUGUUGGAUAAGAAGCCCAUUGUUUGUGAUAUGAGAUGGGUUGACUGGGAGUACAUCAAGGACAAUGAAGAGAACUAUCCUGGAGUGCAAGACAGCUUCAAGGCAUGUGGAGUAGCUGACUUUGUGGGGCAGAAGCUCACAAAGUGGAAUGAAGAGCUGAUCAUGCAGUUCUACUCCACAACACACUUUUAUCCAGAUGGAAGGAUUGUGUGGAUGUCAGAAGGGACAAGGUAUCAAUCAACAGUUGCUGAGUGGGCACAGCUCAUCAAUGCCCCAGAGGAGCAUGAGGAUGACCUAGAUAUAUAUGCCAAGAAGAAGAUGGACCACAACUCUAUGUCCAACAUGUACAAGGAGAUCCCAAACAAGGCACUUGAUACUUUCAAGUUUGGAUCAGUACAUUAUCUUCUGUCAGGGUUGCCAACCAUCAAUUGGAUUCUGAGGCACACUCUGUUGCCCAAGUCAAGUGAUCACAAGAUGAUUAGAGGCCAUGCAAUCAACUUGCUUCAUAUCUUUGUUGUGCCACAAAAAUUCAAAGUCAUGAGCCUCAUGGUAGAAACAAUCAAGAGGACUGCAGCAGAUCAGAAGAGGAGCUGUGGUUAUGCCCCUCAGAUCCAAGAGCUGAUCAACUCCAAGAUGGGAACAGGCAUAUACCUUUUGGACAAGGAACAUUUUUCCAUCCAUCCAGAUUUUGAAGAUAAUCAAGUUGUGAUGAACAAGGAUGAACCAUCUUCAGCUCAUGCUCAAGCACAGAAGGAGAAGGCAAGGAAGGAGAAAGCUGCCAAGAUGCCAACUCAAGAGGAGGCAUCUGAGUAUUUCUUGAAAACCAAGCAAGAGCAGCUUAGUUACUUGAUUGCAUCCACACCCAGGAUUGAGAAAGGACUGGCCACCCUCACUCAAAAUUAGGAGAGCUUAGAGAGGAUCGUAGAACAAAAGUUCUAUGACAUGGAUGUCAAAGUAACAAAGAUCCAGUCUGCAGUGGAGCAACUUCAAGAUGACAUGCAGGAGAGGAAAGGGAAGACUACCACUGAUGCAUUUGCCAGAGUGCCAUGAGCUCAGAGGUCGACUGCAGUGCCAGUUCCUGACACCAGAGCCACCACCUCAGCUCCAGCCACAGCACCAGCCCAACCAGCUCCAGCAUCUACUUCAACUCCAGCUCCAACCACGUCUACAGAAGCCUUCGUCCUUGGAGUGAUCCAGACUCCACCACCACCAGAAGAUCAAGCCUGAGUGUCGAUCUAGCACUAUGCAUUUUCUAGGAACUUUUUGGUAACUUGUUGCCAAAGGGGGAGAAAAAUGUAUAGAUCAUAGGCUUCGAGAGAGAGUGUUGCUUUUAUUCUCUCUUGCUUUAUUUGGUGGUUUUUCAAACUUUGUUUGCUUUUGGUUGAGAUACUUUGAUAUGCUUAUGAGACAUUGAUGAUCAUGUGUUUGAUCAUAAGCUAUACUUAUGCAUGCUUGAUAUAUCUUAUCUAUCUUAUGUGAUCAUUCACUUUUCUUGGUGAUGAGUGCAUGUAUUUCAUUCUUAUCAUUUUGAGCGCUCCACCAAGAUGUAUGUGACAUGGAAGAGUAGCCCAUGAUUCUAACUCUUUGUGCAUUUGCAGUCCAAAGCAAAUUUUAAACAUGCACAAAUUUAGGGGGAGCUCUUACUUAUCACAUACUUCUCAAAGCGACGAUAUAUUUCACUCUUAUUAUCAUUUGUCGAAGCUUUGAUCUAUAUGUUGUCAUCAAUUACCAAAAAGGGGGAGAUUGAAAGUGCAACUAUCCCUAGGUGGUUUUGGUAAUUCAUAACAACAUAUAGCUCAUUGAGCUAAUGCUAUUCCAAGAUGAUUAUUUUAGGAAAGCUCAGUGAUUGGCAUGGCAUGGAUGGUGAAAGUGGAACCCUCAAAAUGCUAAGGACAAAGGAUUGGCUCAAGACUCCUCAUUUUACAUUUUAGUGAUCCAAGAUCACAUUGAGUCCAUAGGAAAAGCCAAUACUAUCAAGGAGGGAUGAGAUGUUGCUUAAUGAGCUUUUUGCUUCAUGUGCUUAAUGAUAUGCUCCAAAAUCCUCAGCUACUUUCCCAUAUCCACAAAUGACCUAAACCCUAAGCCAAACUCGGACCUACCGAUUAUUUCUAUCCGGCGCCACCGAGUUUCACUUGUCAUAGCCACUGCCAAACCCUAAGCAGACACUACAAGAAAUAUGUCAACUUAUGACCUUUUGUCAGUGACCCUCGAAGAAUUGGUCAUAAAUUUAUGAUCAUUUUAGACCAAUUGGUCAAAAGGUGUUCAGGGGGCUCCAAACCCUAAACCAUUGCGACCAUUUUGGUCAGAAAGGUCGUAAUUUCCUUACACGAAAUGGUCACAAAGCAAACAGUGCUAGUCCGCUGCCUUAUUUCUAGUUGUUAAUGACCAAUAUAGAUGGUCAUAGCCUUGUAGAUUGUGGUGGGUUGUGAUGACUAGGCGCCAUCUCAUCAGUUUUGCCUAUGUGUCAUGUCCAUGUGGCAGUUUUUGCCCUAGGUUGUGAAGCAACCUAUAUUUCUAUCAUUCCCAAAAUUCCCAAAAAAAUCUCAUAUAUUCUUUGGGGCAUAUCUUCAUCAAAUAUGUAAAAAUCCUUCCUUGCCUAGUUCAAAACUAAUUCAACAAUAUUCAUUUUCCUAUUCUGUUCACAACAACACUUUAUGAAGGAAGUGCUAUUUAUAUAUUCUUGAUUGCCCUCGAAAUUUUUGGGCACUCUUUCCUAUCCAAAUAAUUACCGCAUGACAAAAUUCAGCUCCAUUUCCCUAGCAAAUCUUCCUCGGCAAUUUUCCAAAGUUUUUGUCCACCUAGAAGCAUUGUGAAGGAAGUACCUUUUUUAUAUCUCUAAAUGACAUGAAAUUUAUACAGUUCCUUCAUAUGCCCAAAUUAUCACCCUCCUCCAAAUUGCAGCUCAGUCAAAUCAUCUAUGUGAGCCCAGGUUCAAUUUAUAUUUUAUGGUCAAAUUGGCACAUUGCAAAGCAAGUGUUAUAUAGACCCCUCCUAUUACCCUCAAACUCUUCGGGAACUCUUCCAUACCCAAAUCAUUGCCACAUGAUAAUAUUCAGAUCAAUUUUCCUAGUAAAUCUUUCUCAGGAAAUUUCCAAAGUUUCUACCUCGAGAGAAGCUUUGUGAAGUAAGUACUAGCUAGGCUUACCCAAAUGAUCUGAAAAUUUACUAGCGCAUGACCAUACCUAUGUAACUUACCUACACCAAUUUUUAGCUCAUUUCAUUCAUCCAAUCUCUCUCACUAGUUUUCCCAAGUUUUUGUCCAUAUAUGAGCAUUGUGAAGGAAGUACUACUUUGGCAUGUCAAAAUGAUAUCAAUUUUCUACAAUGCUUUCCUAUGCCCAAAUAACCAUCCUCCACCAAAUUUCAGCUCAAUCCAUUCAUUAUAUUGAGCCCAGCUUAAACAUUCAUAUUUUUGUCCAGUGUGGUACUUUGCAAAGCAAGUACCACCUAGGAUCCUCCUUUUGAGCUGAAAAUUUGUGAAUACAUUCUCCUUAGUAGAUGAUCAUCCUCGGCCAAAACUCACGCCCAUUGGCCAUGUGCAUUUCCCAUACCGCUAAUCAAACACUUGGCUGCUUAUUCAUGUUUGAGUAUCGAUCGGUCUCCUCGUGAGAAUCUUAUGUUGUAAUUUUCUUCCUAGCACCUACCUGGGGAGUGCCCAACCCACUAGACAUGCCUAUGCCGCCUAGAACACAUGGCAAUGCCAGGGUCACGCGGUGACCACACGGCGGGCAUGCGAGUUUACGCGCUCUAGAGUUGGGGCCCUCGGCCACAGCCCAAACCUCGACGUAUCGCCACCAAACCAUGUAUUUAUGAUUAAAUAGGUACUUAUGUACCUAGAAAUGAUUUUUGGAAAAAAUAAAUAGCAAACUAUGAGACAGCUGCAGUUCAAAUUUGACCCGCUUCCACCUGAAUCGACGGAAAUUUGUUUUUUUCACGAGAGGUGGAUCAAAACUUUUUACACCCAACAAUUUUGUCAAUUGUGAAUUAAAUAUGGCCUAGUAUUUUCAAAAAAUGAUUUGGUCCAAUUUUGCAACAAUUAUUUGGGAGGUCCUUCACAAAAAAACCUCCUUUUGGGCACUCGAAAAAUAGAAAAUGGUUUUUUCGUCCAAAGAAAAUAAAAACUUCCUUAGGCAACAUUGUUUACCAUUCCAAUAUGCACCAUUGUGCACAAUAUGAGAUCAUUUGAAUAAACUAUGCCAUGAAUGUGGCCAUAAGAUUGAUCAUUUGGCUUGAAAGCCAUUGAUCUCCACACGUGAUAGCUCGUUUCUGAGAACACUUUUUUAAAAUAAUUGUCGUAUUACAAGUUUGUUAUUUUUCCUAGGAACUUGGCCACAUAUAAUGACACAAUAUGAAGGUUUCCCAAUUUUUUGAAUUUUUUUGAAUUUUUUAUGCCCGUUUCAAAAUGCGGUCAAAACGGCGGGAAUGACCGUUCCUAGCUAGUGGUUGAAUCUUGGAAUUUUAUUAGUGUUUCUCUGAUUAAAUAGGUACUUAUGUACCUAGAAAUGAUUUUUGUAAAAAAUAAAUAGCAAACUAUGAUGCAGCUGCAGUUCAAAUUUGACCCGCUUCCACCUGAAUUGACGGAAAUUUGUCUUUUUCACCAGAGGAGGAUCAAAACUUUUUACACCCAACCAUUUUGUAAAUUGUGCAUUAAAUAUGGCCUAAUAUUUUAGAAAAAUUAUUUGGUCCAAUUUUGCAACAAUUAUUUGGGAGGUCCUUCACAAAAAACCCCUUUUGGGCACUCGAAAAAUUGAAAAUGGUUUUUCCGUCCAAGGAAAAUGAAAACUUCCUUAGGCAAUAUUGUUUGUCAUUCCAAUAUGCACCCUUGUGCACAAUAUGAGAUCAUUUGAACAAACUAUGCCAUGAGUGUGGCCAUAAGAUUGAUCAUUUGGCUUGAAAGCCAUUGAUCUCCACACAUGAUAGCUCGUUUCUGAGAACACUUUUUUAAAAUAAUUGCCGUAUUACAAGUUUGUUAUUUUUCGUAGGAACUUGGCCACAUAUAAUGAGACAAUGCGAAGGUUUCCCAAUUUUUUGAAUUUUUUUGAAUUUUUUAUGCCCGUUUCAAAAUGCGGUCAAAACGACGAGAAUGACCGUUCCUAGCUAAUGGUUGAAUCUUGGAAUUUUUUUGAUGUUUCUCUGAUUAAAUAGGUACUUAUGUACCUAUAAAUGAUUUUUGAAAAAAAUAAAUAGCAAACUAUGAUGCAGCUGCAGUUCAAAUUUGACCCGCUUCCUACUGAAUCGACGGAAAUUUAUCUUUUUCACGAGAGGAGGAUCAAAACUUUUUACACCCAACCAUUUCGUCAAUUGUGCAUUAAAUAUGGCCUAAUAUUUUAGAAAAAUGAUUUGGUCCAAUUUUGCAACAAUUAUUUGGGAGGUCCUUCACAAAAAACCCCUUUUGGGCACUCGAAAAAUUGAAAAUGGUUUUUCCGUCCAAGGAAAAUGAAAACUUCCUUAGGCAAUAUUGUUUGUCAUUCCAAUAUGCACCCUUGUGCAGAAUAUGAGAUCAUUUGAACAAACUAUUCCAUGAGUGUGGCCAUAAGAUUGAUCAUUUGGCUUGAAAGCCAUUGAUCUCCACACGUGAUAGCUCGUUUCUGAGAACACUUUUUUAAAACAAUUGCCGUAUUACAAGUUUGUUAUUUUCCGUAGGAACUUGUCCACAUAUAAUGACACAAUGCGAAGGUUUCCCAAUUUUUUGAUUUUUUGUGAAUUUUUUAUGCCCGUUUCAAAAUGCGGUCAAAACGACGAGAAUGACCGUUCCUAGCUAGUGGUUGAAUCUUGGAAUUUUUUUGGCGUUUCUCUGAUUAAAUAGAUACUUAUGUACCUAGAAAUGAGUUUUGGAAAAAAUAAAGAGCAAACUAUAAGGCAGCUACAGUUCAAAUUUGACCCGCUUCCACCUGAAUCGACGGAAAUUUGUCUUUUUCACCAGAGGAGGAUCAAAACUUUUUACACCCAACCAUUUGGUCAAUUGUGCAUUAAAUAUGGCCUAAUAUUUUAGAAAAAUGAUUUGGUCCAAUUUUGCAACAAUUAUUUGGUAGGUUCUUCACAAAAAAAACCCUUUUGGACACUCGAAAAAUUGAAAAUGGUUUUUCCGUCCAAGGAAAAUGAAAACUUCCUUAGGCAAUAUUGUUUGUCAUUCCAAUAUGCACCCUUGUGCACAAUAUGAGGUCAUUUGAACAAACUAUCCCAUGAGUGUGGCCAUAAGAUUGAUCAUUUGGCUUGAAAGCCAUUGAUCUCCACACGUGAUAGCUCGUUUCUGAGAACACUUUUUUAAAAUAAUUGCCGUAUUACAAGUUUGUUAUUUUUCCUAGGAACUUGGCCACAUAUAAUGACACAAUGCGAAGGUUUCCCAAUUUUUUGAUUUUUUUUGAAUUUUUUAUGUCCGUUUCAAAAUGCGGUCAAAACGGCGGGAAUGACCGUUCCUAGCUAGUGGUUGAAUCUUGGAUUUUUUUUGGUGUUUCUAUGAUUAAAUAGAUACUUAUUUACUUAGAAAUGAUUUUUGGAAAAAAUAAAUAGCAAACUAUGAGGCAGCUACAGUUCAAAUUUGACCCGUUUCCAGCUGAAUCGACGACAAUUUGUCUUUUUCACCAGAGGUGGAUCAAAACUUUUUUCACCCAACCAUUUUGUCAAUUGUGCAUUAUAUAUGUCCUAGUAUUUUAUAAAAUUGAUUUGGUCCAAUUUUGCAACAAUUAUUUGGUAGGUCCUUCACAAAAAAACCUCAUUUGGGGCACUCGAAAAAUGGAAAAUGAUUUUUUGUGCAAAGAAUAUAAAAAAGCCCUUUGUCGAUACUGUUUACUAUUCCAAGAUGUAAACUUUUGUAGAGUAUAAAGAACUCAUUUUGAACAAAUAUAAAGAAUAUAAAGAAUAUCAUGUGAACAAAUAUUUGGUAGGUCUUUUACAAAAAAGAACUCAUUUUGAGCACUAAAAAUGGAAAAUGAUUUUUUCGUGACCUAUUUAAAAGGUCAUAAAGUCUUCAAAUUGUUUGUUGCGUUCUGAUUGGUCUAUAGGCAUAUCACGCGGAUCAUGCAUCCGACACCGUCAGAUGCUCCGGGAUCCAACGGCAGACCUCAUCCCCUCACCCUCUCACCCACGUAGCCCUCUCACCCCCCUCACCCACGCAGCCCACACUCCCCACCGUUCCAACCCUAGCCCCCACGCCCCCACUCCCCCGCACCCGCACCUGCUCGGCAAACCCUAGCCGCCGCCGCCCCCGCACCAUGGUCGUCGACGGGGAGGAGCCCGAAUCCCCAUGCCUCCCAAGCGCCCGAAACUCUAGCCCGCGGCACAGCCAUGGCGACCGAGCUCUGGAUCCCAUCGACUCCCCCCCAUCGCACCCCUCCUCUGCUCGCAGCUGCCGCCACCUCCUUCCUCAAUCCAGUCCUCUCCCCAGCCUCCUUUCCCUGAUCCAGUUUUCUCCCCGCCGCUCCCACCCACCGCCGACCUCGCAGCCCUCCUCACCACCGCCGCCGACCUCUUCCCUCCCUCCCCUCACCAUCUUUCCCUACCCUAUGCCCUAGAUCGAGUCGAGCAGGUCGGCCGACGCGCUAGGGUUCCGUUUGGUCAGCUCCGCGCCGGCUCUCCGGUUGGCCGCCCGCCCGACGAUGGAUUUCCCGCCGCUCUCCCACCAGGCGCUCUUCACAGCCCUCCGAUCCGCGGACGCCGAGGCCGUGCGCCGCCUCCUGGCCGGCGCCGAGGAGUCCGCGCUCUACGUCCCGGCGGACGCCGAGGCCGUGCGCCUCCUCCUCCCGCUCUACGACCUCGAGGCCGCGAAGCUCCGCUCCCGCCUCAACCUCGAUGCCUUCCACGUCGCCGCCAAGCAAGGGCACACCGGUGAGCCCCUCUUCUCGCUCGAUUAGUAGCUUCCGCUGGGUUUUUUAGAACGAGCCAAGUCCAGUGUCUUGCAGCAAGUUUAAUCGAUUCUCAUUGGGCUCAAUUGCAGGGUUUGAUGCUCCGAGGAACAACAUGGAGUUCGCCAUGGAGGCGCCCCACAGCUACGGCGUCUUCCAAGAGGACGUCCCGGUGAGUAGUACAAUCCCCUUCCCUGUUAUUUCUCUCUAUCUGUCAGACUAAUUCACUGCAUCAUUUUCUUCCCUGGCCCGUGUAUGCAUGCGUCUGGUAAAUUAUUUUGUUUCCAGAAAAAGGACAUGUAAUUCCUUUUUUCUCCUUUCAUUCCAGUCACAUACUACUGUCCAAUUUUCAGUUAGGUGGGUAGAUCUUUCUUGACAUAUGAUAUGCAUUGUCCAUCCGUCCUUGGCAGCUCUGCUGCUAGGUGUACUCGAACCUGACUGUUGUUGCCUGAGAAGACAGCACGAAACACCUAUUAAUAAUGCUGUCAAACAAACAGUAGACCACCAUCUACUGCUGCUGGGCACAACCACGUUGCCCCUUAAUUACCUGGCCAUUCUCUGCAUCAUUGCUUACCAUCCUUUGCCUACCAAUAAGUAGGAGGCCAUGUUGAGUUCCUGGCAUUGUUCUUCAAACUAGAUUAGCACUGCUGCUUUCCUCCGCCCCUCUUCUCCCUCGACGGUGUUCUCAUCCACCACAGCAGCUUACUGACACGGUCAUUGGUUCUGUCUUUGUUUUGUUGGCAGCAGGGGAAGAAGGAGGAGGAGGAGUUCAGCACGGGGCCCCUCUCCAUUCUCAUGCUCAGCGUCAAGAACAACGCCCUAGUUGGUUUGGUUUGGUUAACUUCUUGCCUCUGUUGAUUGAGAUCUCAGCUUAGCGAGGGCAUAUUUUUUGUAGUAGUAGUCGACCUGCUUAGCAAGCUCAGCUCACCCCGCUCGUCGUCGACCUGCCCGAUGGUGGCUAUGGCGGGACCCGCGAGAUCGUCGUCUUCCUGACCGGGACCCUUGGUUAGUGACAUCAUAUGUUUUCCACGACAUUCAGACUUUUCUAUAGUUUAUUGAAACUGUUGUGGUCUGAAGAACAGUUUACUGAAAUUGUUCCAAGUCUGAAAAACAGUUGUCUGAAUCUGUUGAAAUCUGAAACUGUUAGUGUGAGGUGUCUGAAACUGUUCUAAUCUUGUAGAUAACCUGUGAAUAAAUUUACUUGUGUUGAAUAACCUGUGAACAAAUUUAGGACUUUGGAGUUGUCUAAAACUAUUGUAGUCUUGUAGAAAAGUAAAAGUAGUUGGAUGGAAAUAGAUUUCUCAGUCUGUGUAAUAGAUGGUCUGAAGCUAGUUCCAGAUUUCUUUCCAUGAUUCAGAUAAUUCAGUAAGUCCAUUUCAUAACAUCUGCUGCUAGUACAAAUUAUGGAAGCUAAAAAGCCAAAUCAAGUUCAGUCAUCUCAUUUCACCUUUGCAAAGAAGAUACUAAUUUUCUAAACUGUGAAUUUGAUGUUAACGUCUUAUAUGUGCGUCUUAUAUGUCCAUUUCAUAACAUGGUGCGUCUUAUAUGUGUGUUUGAUGUUAACGUCGCUUGUGGUUUUGCAGGGUUCUGAGGCUGCAGCCUGGGCACCAUCAGGGUAGGUUGUUUCCCUAUCUUGUUUCUUCAGUGCUCAAUAGUUGCUUGUGCGACUGCUACUAGUCUUUUAUGUAAUGCUAAACUAAAAUGGGUCUAGUUAUACUAAUCAUUCCAUGAAAGUUCAGUCUGAUUUGCUGGUACUCUAAUAGAAUCAUUGUUUGCUCAUGCUCAGAAUCAUUGUUUGCUCAUGCUCAGAAUCAUUGUUUUACAUAUGUUACUUGUGAUGUUCUGCUGGCUGAGAUGUGCAUGAUCUGGGUAAUGAAGAAAAUUGUUCGGAUUCCCACUGAUUUUCAUGAUUAUUACAACCAGAUACUUCUGACGGAUCAUGCCAUCUCUUGGACUACAUAUGUACUCCCUCCGUAAACUAAUAUAAGAGUGUUUAGAAUACUAAACUAGUGAUCUAAACACUCUUAUAUUAGUUUACAGAGGGAGUACUCCUUUAUUAUUGAGCAAAUACUUUCCUUUGAUUUUUUGCAAACCUCUUAGCAGUAAUUUUCGUAUCCUCUUUUUUGUGUUCUGCUGGCUGAUGAGAUGUGCAUUACCUGGGUGAUGAAGAAAAUCGAUGGGUCACGCCAUCUCCUGAAGUACAUUUGCACAUUUUUACUGCUUUAGACUGACUGUACAUGCAUUCCUUCAUUGGUUAUGAACCUUAUUGCUCAUUGGGUUCUGUUGGGUUGAACUGCAUGAUUCCGGGUGAUGAAGAAAAUCGUUCAGAUUCCCACUGAUAUUUCAUGAUUAGUGUAACCAGCUACUUCUGAUCCAUAGCUUGUACUGCAACUAAUGUGUCAUGCGUUUUGUGGCAGCAACAGCAGCUAGCAGGAGCAAUUCUCUUGCUGGUUUGCAUUGAAGAUAUUGUAUUCUGUUGCUAUAUCAUUGUUUAAUAAAACCACAACAUGAUGCUCACAUGAGAUAUCCACAUGUUUCUGUGCUAUUUUGCUACAAGCUGUGUGUUGAUUUGAUAACAGGAGUUUCCUUGUCCUGGUCCUAUACUGCAUUUUGACUCCUAUGUUUAUGUGCGCGUGUGUUUAAUUGAUGUUGUUUCAACUUUGAACUACUUCUGCAUAUACUGCAAUUGAGAUUUAAAUUUGUGGUUGUUCCUCUUUUACAGAUGCUCAAGUGUGAAGCCGGGAAGUGUGAAGCCGUCAAGUUCUACUUAGUGAAGAGUAGCAUAUUGUAGCAUAUAUGUGUUGUAAAGAUUGUAAUAGAUUUAUUUAGUGGUAUAUUUGAUGAUUCUUUUUGAUUAUUUAUAUGAUCUGAAAACUUGUGAAAUGGAAACUUGACCAAUGGGUCCACUUAUGAAAAUAAUCUGUCAAUUUUGUACAUUUCUGACAUGUGGGACCAAUUUGAGAGAUGAUCAUGACAAGUGGGACCCAUCUGACUAGUGGGGCCAGCUUGAAUAUAUAAUGGCUGAAAAUAGAAAAGCAAUAAAUAAUAAAAGGCCACGGGCCAACAAUAAAAAAGGCUACAACGUUGGGCUUGGCCCAUGAAGCCGACCAGAAUUAACAAGGAAAAAAAAAAUAAAAGGCCGAAUUGUUGGGCUAGGCCCAUGUAGAAAACUGAAUUGGACCGGGCUGAAUCUUGUGCCACAUCAGCUUGCCACGCUGGAUGCCUACGUGGCCUGGAGAGGUUGCUAGUGACCAAAACGCCACAGUGGACAUAUUUUGGUCAUAAAUGUUUGCGACCAUUCCAGAAGAAAGGUCGCUAUAGUCAGUUUACGACGCCCAGCUUUUGACCUUAUGUUUUUGGUCACAAAAAGGUCAUAAAUGGAAAUUUGUGACCAUUCAGUGACCAAUAGUGGUGGUCAUAAGUUGACAUAUUUCUUGUAGUGAAAUCGGUUCUACCGAUAGGGAUCUCGGUCUCACCGAGAUGGGAUUGCAAUUUCUCUGUUUCCCUUUCGUAACUUUUUGGUCUCACCGAAAGAGCGGAUCGGUCCCACCGAGAUUGCAAUGUAAACUCUCUGUUUCCCUUUUGUAACAUUUCGGUCUCACCGAAAGAGCAAAUCGGUCCCACCGAGUUUACCUGACCAACUCUCUGGUUAGCUAAUUACCAAAAUCGGUCUCACCGAGUUUGUGUAAUAGGUCUCACCGAGAUUACAUUAUGCCCUAACCCUAACCAUAUCGGUCCUACCGAGUUGCAUGUCAGUCCCACCGAAAAUCUCUAACUGUCACUAGGUUUACUAUUUCGGUCCGACCGAGCUUGUUGAUUCGGUCCCACCGAGAUUGGUAAAUUGUGUGUAACGAUUGGAUUUUGUGUGGAGGCUAUAUAUACCCCUCCACCUCCUCUUCACUCGUGGGAGAGAGCCAUCAGAACACAUCUACACUUCCAACUCAUAUGUUCUGAGAGAGAACCACGUACUCAUGUGUUGAGACCAAGAUAUUCCAUUCCUACCAUAUGAAUCUUGAUCUCUAGCCUUCCCCAAGUUGCUUUCCACUCAAAUCUUCUUUCCACCAAAUCCAAAUCCUGUGAGAGAGAGUUGAGUGUUGGGGAGACUAUCAUUUGAAGCACAAGAGCAAGGAGUUCAUCAUCAACACACCAUUUGUUACUUCUUGGAGAGUGGUGUCUCCUAGAUUGGCUAGGUGUCACUUGGGAGCCUCCGACAAGAUUGUGGAGUUGUACCAAGGAGUUUGUAAGGGCAAGGAGAUCGCCUACUUCGUGAAGAUCUACCGCUAGCGAGGCAAGUCCUUCGUGGGCGAUGGCCAUGGUGGGAUAGACAAGGUUGCUUCUUGGUGGACCCUUCGUGGGUGGAGCCCUCCGUGGACUCGCGCAACCGUUACCCUUCGUGGGUUGAAGUCUCCAUCAACGUGGAUGUAGGAUAGCACCACCUAUCUGAACCACGGGAAAAACAUCCGUGUCUCCAAUUGCGUUUGAAUUCUCCAAACCCUUCCCUUUACAUUCUUGCAAGUUGCAUGCUUUACUUUCCGCUGCCUAUAUACUCUUUGCAUGCUUGCUUGAAUUGUGUGAUGAUUGCUUGACUUGUCCUAAAGUAGCUAAAAUCUGCCAAGAACUAAGAUUGGGAAAAGGUUAUGUUUUUAUUUGGUCAAGUAAUCUAAUCACCCCCCUCUAGACAUACUUCCGAUCCUACACUAGCAAACAUCGCUCCCUUCGCCUGUGGGAGUUUAAUCCGGAGGGACCACGAGCUCUCCCGCAUUUUAUGGGCGCAACGCCCGCGGAGAUGUAUAAACUGUUCUUCGGAUCACAAUCAAUGUGUCCGGUUUUGACCGAGGACGCAGGCCUGAGCUGCAAUCGCCCGGAUACUCAAGUAAGCAGCCUUUUGCUCGGACUCGUUAUCCACAUAUUUGUCAUAAACUUGCCCCUAAAAGAGCUGUCCCUUUAAACAGGAGUGGAUAGCGAAAGCAAAGCUGAUAAGGUGUCCGGCUCCCCUCCCUGAGACCAGGACGGAUUCCGUCCUAGCCAGGAUGUUGAAGAUUGUGCCUUUGAAGGAAAGUGAGGGAGGGGACAAGGAAGCUACAGUCUCCUUGAAGGAGGCUGUUUGGAGGGAAGGAACCAAAAAUUCCUCUCCUCCGGGGAAGAAAAGGACUGCCUCUAAAAACCCGGAGGCUGCGGCCUCCAAGCGGGGAAAAAAAUCCUCGUCAGAGGGUCCUACGUCGGGGAAUACCUCGGCCGAACUAUGCCCUCAAGGGGUCCAGCCCUCCAGCGAGCCGUAAGUAGAGAAAGAUUAUAUUUUUUGAGAGAAAGAUCGUUGCUUUAAACCUGAGAAGAUUAAUCGAAAUUUUACCUUGUAGUUCGGACCUUAGCCCUUCUCAGCCGAGCUCGUCUUCGGGGGACCUUCUUCAGGAGAUGAUGGAGAGCGGGACGCCUCCCCUUGCUGUACCACCUAGCGAGGCGGGCGACCCUGAGGUGUUGUCGCGGAGGGUUUCUCCGAAUCUGGCAGGGGCGGAAGACUAUGAGGCCCCCCAAGGUUCUCCGCGUCCGGCCUUCGAAAGAGGCCGUAGGACAGGUCCGGCAUCGUCUGUUGUUCGACCGGAGGAGCUAAAUAAUCUGCUGGGGCGAGCUUCUAUCUUGGAGGAGCACCGUGCAUUGAUGGGCACGGUGAUUGAAAGGAUUUCAUCCGCAGAAAGCGGAUUGUACGAGGCCGUCAGAAGCUUACUGACGGGUUUUGAGGUACGUUAGAUAAUGUACACUUUUGUCAGUUGCGCAUAAAUAAGAUGCGCCCUAUGUAGAUAGUAGCCCCUGAGACUCUAUGCGUUGUCAGAAGUGACAGCGUGCAGAGGAUCAUAAUCCUAGGUCUAAAAUGUCGCCUUUAAAUGUAGGUGGCGAGGUGUCCGGAAUCGAGCCGAACUGAUGAUUUUGCCGAACUAAAGCGACAACUUGACGUGGCAGAUGCCGACAUCGCGCUUGUCAACAAACAACUUGAUGAGGCUCAAGGUAUGUAAUUCCUUGGGCGGCACCUGGUAAGAGGAGCUUUAUGCCGAUAUCUUACAAUGUCUGUGCUUGACGCAGAUGGUGCGGCCGCCGUGGAGAGUCUUCGGGCAGAACUUGCCCGAGCUAAGGAACAAGCCAGAGAAAGGGAUGCGGCUGCCGAGAAGGCCCUUGAAGAGUUGCGAGCCGAACAGGCUGCUCACUGCCGAAGCAAGACUGAGAUGGCCGAGAUGGCCAUGAAGUUAAAGAGCAUUGCUGACCGUUGCAAGCUUCUUGAAAAAGAAGACCGUGCGAGGCAGACGGACUUAGAGAAGGCCGUUGCUAAUGCCAAUGACGCUCGCUCUGCGAUGAGAGCUGUGAAGGAGGAGCUGCGUCAGGCCGGACAGAUUGGGGCUGGAAAGCCCUUUAUGCUGCGGAGGAAGUUUUGCGAUCCGAAGUUUGCUCCGUUGGACCGGAUGUGGAGUGUGGAGGACACCUAUCUGGAUUUGGCAGCGAGUGCUGCUGAUGCGACCGAACACUUUCGAGAUCAAGAAGAUCGCGAAGUGGAAAAAAAUUUCUGGUCGCAGUUCCACAAUCCAGAGCGUCCACUGGUGGUGGACGAUCGUCUGGCUCAAUGGGCUAAACUGAAUAGGUUGUCCGGACUCGCCAUGAAGUGUGUCAUGGGUCAUUUGUGGCCGGGGAGAUCGGAGCCGAAGAGUUAUUUCAGCUUGGUGCAGCAAUUCCUUGAUGCGGUGCCACGUAUCAAUGCAAUGAAGAGGUCAGCAUGCAUAGAGGGCACACGGAUGGCUCUUGCCCGUGUCAAGACAUACUGGGCGGAGAUGGAGACCACCGUUGUUGCAUCCCGAGAUUCGGACAAAAGCCGAGUACCCUCCGAGCACUAUUUUCAGGAAGUCCUUGAAGGCGCUCGUGUAAUAGAGACGCAGUGCUCGAAGGAUGCUAUGUUCUGAUAGCUUAUUUAAUUAUAAAGUAGUAUUUUGAUGAAUUGUAGUGGCCUUUUAUACUUGUGCCUUCAAGUAUGUUGAACACCUCUUAUGCGGCCGUUUUAAGAUAUAUAUAUAUAUAUAUAUAUAUAUAUAUAUAUAUAUAUAUAUAUAUAUAUAUAUAUAAUCUGAAAGAUGGCAGUCGUUGGUUUCAGCCCCCACGCACAUAGUGCGGGGGUGCUCGCAGAAGGCGCAUUUUCACACUUAAUCCAACGUCUAGUCCUACAAAGGAGAUGAUGGCGCAACGAGCUAGGCAACUGGACUAUAAUGCUUUAACACUUUCACUUAGCCAUGGGAGCUUGACAGUGGGACUCUUUAGAUAGCCCUUGGUGGCGACUGCGCUCGCCCGAAUUCGGGGCGCGUAUGUGCCUGGCCGGGAAACGGCCCUUCGUUAAUGCAGAGGAAUCCUAUAGAUUCCGGAGAGUCAUCGAGUGGUUGACCAGUCUCACGCUAUAUCAUGAGAGUCAAUUUUCGGCUUUCUCUACUAAGGUGCUCGCCUGGCCGAACCGGGGCACAAUCGCAGUAGUUCUCCUGGUGCCGCCUUAGCCGAUAGAGCGGAACGUAAGGCGGCUUAACACAGGAGCCGGGCAACCCAACAUUUGACCAAAAUCAUGAUUCGGAGCUGAUGCAUAUAAGGCCAAACUCGCGACGCCGAACACUCCCUAAGGUAUUCGGUCUUUAUGAGAGCGGGCGGAGUAACGCUCUUAGGUAUAAGCCCCUAGUGUCCAGGUACGCGCAGGAAUUCUGACGUGGCCACAUGCCAAGACGCCAGCCUCCUCCUUGGUUAUAGAACCAGGGGAUGUGUAUCAACAAGAGACAGUAAAAAAGGUUUACGCAUGGUCUUAAUCUGAAAAGAAUCCUUGGAACGGGUCCCUACUGCACGUCUGCGCCUGUGUCUCCGUUGUGCCAUAUCCUGGACGGGCGCAACAUGAUGUUCAUCUGUAAAAGAGAGGAACUAAGUUGAAAAAAGGGCGUGCCGAUCAAAAGUUAUAUUAAAUAAAAAAAGUAUAAAGUAAAAUAUGUAAAAUUGAGCUUUAUUGUCUCUUAUUUUAUAUGUGCGGAGCCCCUAGGGCAGGGGUAUAUGGCCACUGAGCAUUUAUCAAUGAUACUUUUGUGCCGGAUUCGUCUAUCCGUGUCUGUGGUCUUAAUGACCUGUUCGGAUGUUCUGGCAGGUGAAGCCAUUGUAUUGUGGGGCUGUUAAAGCGGCCGCAUAAUCCUCCGCUCGGGGGAGGCGUACUCAAUGCUUCCCCUUCAAGGAUAUGAUGCCUCAUGGACCGGGCAUCUUAAGCGUAAGAGAUGCAUAAUGCAGUAUUGCGUUAAAGCGGGCGAAAGCUUCGCGUCCCAGCGAUGCUUGAUAGCGACUUGAGAAUGGGACGAUGUGGAAAGUCAGCUUUUCGCGGCGGAAGUUAUCGGUAGAGUCGAAUAUUACUUCGAGCCGGAGAAAACCCAUGCAAUGGGUGUCCGGACCAGGCAAUACCCCUUGAAAGGAGGUUUUGCUGUGGCGAAUUCUUGUUGGGUCUAUCCCCAUGUGACGGAUUGUGUCCUUAUAUAUCAGGUUUAGUCCACUGCCGCUGUCCAUGAGGACAUUUGAAAACUGGAUUCCGCCAAUUAUUGGAUCGAGUACCAAGGUAGUCCAGCCUGCGUUCCUGAUACUUCUAGAAUAAUCCAGAUGAUCGAAGAUGAUUGGUUUUGACAACCAGUGGCGGGACCCCUUUGGGAUAGGUCGUGGGGCGUGUACCUUUAUGGGCGCCGCACGUUUUGUUAUGUGAAGUAAGUUUACUGUUUUUACUUCUUGUGGGAAAUUCUUUUGUUUCCUGGUGCUCUGCUUUUGGGGUUCGUCCUCGUCUUCGUUUGGUGUGUCGAGCCCCUUGUAUUCGGCGUUGAGUCUGCCGGAUUGUUUGAAAACCCAACAAUCUCUGUGGGUAUGGUUAGCAGGCUUUCCGGGAGUACUGUGUAUUUGACAUAUCCUGUCCAGGAUUUUGUUUAGGUUGGAUAAAUCAUCUCUGUUAUCCUGGAGGGGCGGCUUUUUCUGAUUUUGCCGUGAGCUUUUGAAUCUGGCGUUGACUGCCGUACUCUUCGGAUUGUUUUCCUUAGUCCGGCGACGAUCCUUGUUGCGUCGCGGUUUUCCGUUUCCAUCCCUAGUUUCAGAUGUACUUGGGUCGCUGGUGCUACAUCUUGCCAACCAGCUGUCCUCUCCUGCGCAAAAGCGGGUCAUGAGGCUUGUUAAUGCGGCCAUUGUUCUUGGCUUUUCUUGGCCGAGGUGUCUGGCGAGCCACUCGUCUCGGACAUUGUGCCUGAAAGCUGCUAGGGCUUCGCUGUCCGGACAGUCGACUAUCUGAUUCUUCUUAGUAAGAAAUCUAUUCCAGAACUGCCAAGCUGACUCUUCGGGCUGUUGUGUGAUGUGACUGAGAUCGUCUGCAUCCGGAGGGCGGACAUAAGUCCCUUGAAAAUUUGCUCGGAAAGCGUCCUCGAGCUCCUCCCAACUUCCAAUUAUGUUUUCAGGAAGGCUUUUAAGCCAAUGCCAGGCUGGUCCUUUAAGCUUGAGGGGUAAAUAUUUGAUGGCGUGGAGGUCAUCUCCUCUAGCCAUAUGUAUGUGGAGGAUGUAAUCCUCGAUCCAGACUCCAGGGUCUGUUGUUCCAUCAUAUGCCUCUAUGUUUACGGGUUUGAAUCCCACUGGAAAUUCAUAAUCCAGGACCUCAUCGAUGAAACAUAGGGGGUGUGCGGCGCCCCUGUACUUGGGUGUGCCGGAUUCUGAUAAUGGCUUUAUUGCAUUGCUUAUGAGAGCUUGCUUUAUUGGCCCGUAAAUGGACCUGGCUGGGCCAUCUUUUUGAUGCGAAUCCGUAAGUGGGUCGCGUGCCGGCUUAAGUGCGGCGCCGCUUGCCGCUUUAUGUUGGCCAUGGGGUCGUCUAUCCGACCAUGUGGCUUUCUUACUUUUUGAGUGUGAGGGCUCUAAGGCCUCUUCGUCGAAUUCAGGCAGUAGUUUUCGCUUCAGAUAGCUUUUAGCGCGGCGGUUGUCGUCGUAUUUGUCUGCGGUAUUGAUUACUUUACUCCAUCUGAUCCUGAGUGCAUCUUCCGCAGUUUUUAGCUUCCGCUUCUGCUUUUUCAGGCUGCAGCCUCUUGUGGAGGUUCUUCUCCGUGGGCUUAUCCGGCGUAAGGUCGUCCGAAAUGCCAUUUUCGCCGGGGGAGGGAUGUUCGGUUUCUUUAUCCGGGCUGCCCUGUUCGGACGUUUGCUCUAAGGCAUGCUCGUCGUCUGCCGGCUCAUCCUGUUCUAUGGCUGGGUCUGUAUCGAGGCGGGGCUUGGGUCGGCGUUUACGCCGACGCUUUGAUUGUUUUUCGAGGGAUUGAUCCUUCGUUCCAUCCCCGUGUUCCUUGUUGUCGCUACCUUUAGGGGUAUCCACCAUGUACACAUCAUGAGAUGAGGUGGCUGUCCAAUGCCCUAUAGGCGUUGGUUCAUCUGUGUCUCCUGCAUCGUCGUCCAUGUCGUCGAUGUCUUCGGAGUCGAAGUUGAGCACGUCGUUUAAAUUAUCGACGGUGGCUACCAAAUGGGUGGUGGGUGGGUUUUGAAUUUCUUCAUCAUCCGUAUCCCAUCCUUGCUGACUGUAGUCCGGCCAGGGCUCUCCUGAUAGAGAGAGAGAGAGAGACUUUAGUGACUUCAGGAUGUCGCCGAAGGGCGAGUGCUGAAAGAUGUCCGCGGCGGUGAACUCCAUGAUCGGCGCCCAAUUGGAUUCGAUUGGCAGGUGCGCAGAGGGCUCGGAGUCCGGAGAAGAAUCCGGCUCCUCAGAGUCACGGGCCAUGCAGAGUGCGGGGCUGGUGUUCGGCUCGAUCACCUUUGAGAUCGCAGCUCUCGAGGUGGUGUCCAACCACUCAUCCUCGAUCGGCGCGACAGGCUCCGGAUUAAGGGUCGGAACCAAUGCGCGUGCUGCCUCCAGGACACUGUUCGGCGGCAGAGUUAGAUUAUGCCCAUCGAGACAGUGCGGCGCGCUUGGCUGUGGCUCGAAACCGUCAAAGAUCAAGUCCCCGCGGAUGUCAGCCGUGUAGUUUAAACUUCCAAAUCUGACCUGAUGGCCAGGGGCGUAGCUUUCGAUCUGCUCCAGAUGGCCAAGCGAAUUGGCCCGCAGUGUGAAGCCGCCGAAGACGAAGAUCUGUCCGGGGAGAAAAGUCUCACCCUGGACUGCAUCGUUGUUGAUGAUCAAAGGAGCCAUCGGGCCUAAAAGCGACGACACAGAGGAACUCUCAAUGAAAGCACCAAUGUCGGUGUCAAAACCGGCGGAUCUCGGGUAGGGGUCCCCGAACUGUGCGUCUAGGCGGAUGGUAACAGGAGACGAGGGACACAAUGUUUUACCCAGGUUCGGGCCCUCUUGAUGGAGGUAAAACCCUACGUCCUGCUUGAUUAAUAUUGAUGAUAUGGGUAGUACAAGAGUAGAUCUACCACGAGAUCAAGGAGGCUAAACCCUAGAAACUAGCCUAUGGUAUGUUUGUUGUAUGUUGAGAUUCUUGUCCUACAGACUAAAACCCUCCGGUUUAUAUAGACACCGGAGAGGGUUAGGGUUACACAAAGUCGGUUACAAUGGUAGGAGAUCUGAAUAUCUGCAUCGCCAAGCUUGCCUUCCACGCCAAGGAAAGUCCCAUCCGGACACGGGACGAAGUCUUCAAUCUUGUAUCUUCAUAGUCCAGGAGUCCGGCUGAAGGUAUAGUCCGGCCAUCCGGACACCCCCUAAUCCAGGACUCCCUCAUUGCCCACUGCCGGGAAAGAAGCAAAAGGCGCCAGAGCCGGGAAAGAAGCGAAAGGCGCCAGAGCCGCUGCUGAAGGUAUGGAAAACGAGGUCUGUUUUCUGGGACUAGCCGUACUGGAAGAUCCACCGUGUGCCUCACAGCCUUGAUGUCAUGCAUAUCAUGAAGAACAUGUGCGAGAGUCUGCUUGGUACCCUGCUCAACAUGCCAGAGAGGACCAAAGAUGGCCCGAAAGCAAGGGCAGACUUGAAAUCAAUGGGCAUCAGGGAGGAGCUUCACGCUAAUGAUGAUGAUGAUGAGGCAAAGCAGGACACAGAAAAGUCGUCGCAAAGGCAAAAAGGCCAAGAAGACGAGAAAUGACUACCCUCCCGCAUGCUUCACUCUAAGUCAAGAGGAGAUCGAGCAGUUUUUCACCUGCCUCAUAGGAGUAAAACUUCCUUACGAUUACACGGGGAAGAUAAGAAGAUACCUAGACCCAGCGAAGCAGAAGUUCAGCGGGAUGAAGUCUCACGACUGUCACGUGCUAAUGACGCAGAUACUUCCACUUGCAAUCCGUGGGAUCAUGGACACACACGUCCGUGAAACACUAUUUGGCCUAUGCAACUUUUUCGACGUCAUCUCUCAGAAGUCGGUUGGCGUGAGGCAACUCAAAAGGCUACAGGAAGAGAUCGUGGUGAUACUAUGCGAGCUUGAGAUGUACUUCCCGCCCGCAUUCUUCGAUGUUAUGGUGCAUCUGCUGGUCCAUCUCGUGGAGGAUAUCAUCCAACUCGGGCCGACGUUCCUGCACAGCAUGAUUCCGUUCGAAAGGAUGAAUGGUGUCAUCAAAGGAUACGUUCGCAACAUGUCACGUCCAGAGGGAAGCAUAGCCAGGGGCUUUCUGACCGAAGAGUGCAUCUCCUAUUGCACGAAUUAUCUAGGCAUCGAGAACCCCGUUGGUCUGCCCGUCAACAGGCACCUCGGCAGGCUCGCUGGAUGGGGUCACCGUGAGGGUCGCCGCGAAAUGCAUGUCGACUUCGAGGGUCGACUCGCCGACUUUGAAAGAGCAAACCUAGUCGCGGUACAACACAUAGACGUGGUCGAUCCUUGGGUGGUAGAGCACAAAACCUUUAUUGAGAAGAUGUACAAUGACCGAGGCCAACAGAGGACGGACGGAGAUAUAAUCAAAGAGCACAACUCAUGUUUCACGCGUUGGUUCAAGCAGAAGCUUCUGUCGUACCCUUUACAUGAGGAUUCUUCCGCGGAAGAACAACUCAUAUUCACCUUGUCACAGGGCGCCGAGCACAACCUGAUGACCUAUGAGGCGUACGAUAUCAACGGCUACACAUUCUACACCGAGGACAAGGACAUGAAGAGCGAUGGUUAUCAGAACUCCGGGGUAACGAAGGAAUCCUACACCGAUAACGACAAGGACAGAUACUACGGAAGGAUCGAGGAGAUCUGGGAGCUGAGCUACGCUGGAGAGAAGGUCCCGAUGUUCCGUGUCAGAUGGGCCAAGAACGUCCUAAAAGAAGACCGGUAUUUCACCACCAUGGUUAUACCCGAAGCCAAAUCCAAGACCGCGAGCGCAAACGUCAUCGCGAAAAAUUAGCCAUGGGUACUGGCUUCCCAAGUGGACCAAUGCUUCUUCAUUACCGACCCGUCAAAGCCCAGUCGUGUUGUCGUGAGGAGAGGCAAAAGGAAGAUCAUCGGAAUGGAUGGAGUCGCCAAUGAGCAAGACUUCGACAAGUACGAUGACCCGAAGAUGGAACAUGACGACGACGAUGAAGUAGCAGCAUACACCACAAGAAGAAGUAGGACCACCCUACCUAAAGGACGUCCGUUCCACAGAAGAACUCCAUUUGCGAAAAAGAAGGGCAAGAAGAUUGUGAACAAAUAGCUAGCUAAGAUCGACUGUAUUUAAAUCGUAGUCUUCAUUUCUCGAUUGUAUUUCAUGGGCACCUUUUGAUAUCAUGAAUAUUUUUAAAUUUCAUGGGCACUUUUUGAAUUCAUGAAUAUUUUUUAAAAUUUGAUGAUAUUUUUUCAUAUUCAAUAUGAGAAAAUAUUGAAUAUUCAUGAGGACACUCGAUCUCGAUCCUCCGCACCCUCCCCUGCUCCACCGCCGCCACCGACCCACCGCACCCUCCCCCGCUCUACCGCCGCCGCCGACCCCCCGCACCCUCCCCGGCCCGCUCCACCGCCGCCGAGCACCCCCGCACCCUCCCCUGCUAGCUCCACUCACUACUAGGGAAAAUCUUAUACACAGAAUCUUAGCAGCAGCGCGGUCUAAAAACAGGCGCUACUGCUAAUUAGCAGUAGCGAGCUUCUGAAAAGAGCGCUACUAAUGACUAAGUAGAAGUAGCGCUCUAGGUGAAAAGAGGGAUACUACUAUAAUUGCCACGGUGUUGCCUCCAGGCUAGAUAUAGUAGUAGUGCCCUUCCCGUGGAUGCGCUACUGCUAAAGAACUUAGUAGCAGCGAUUUUCUUCAAAACUCGCUGUUGCUAAGUAUCACCGCAACUAAUUAAGUUUAGUCCCAUACUGCUAAGCAAACAAGGUGUUUACCACCUUAAAUAUGUUACUUCUCAACCUAUCUCGCGCACUUGGUCUUCAUUGAACUAUAUGUGUAUGAUUUGUGGUUGCAAUAUGAAUCCUCGCCUGUACCUAUACAGGUACAGUGAAGAUUCAUGUUGACUAUUUAGAUUAUACACAAAAAGAUCAAUGAUGACCAAUGUAUAUUUAUGAUGUUUUUACAUUGCUUAGACUUAUAGCGUUUUUUCAGGACAAAGCGUUACUGAUAUUGGGAUAAACAAAAGAAAUAACUGCUUCCAUUAGCAGUAGCGGUUUUCUCUAAAACGCGCUAUAGAUAAGUUAGCUAUAGCGCGUUUCGAUAUGAGCGCUACUGCUAGUUUGAGUUAACCACCCCCCGAAUCAAAAUUUCGCUAAGUCCUCCUUUCCCCCCCACCCCGGCCGGUUCCCCUACUCCUGUCGCCGCCGCCCGAGCCCGAGCGCGCCUGCCCUCACCGCCGCGGCCGCCGCUCGCCCUCAACCUCACCACCGCCGCUCUUGACCACACUAUCACCGCCCUCGACCUCACCGCCCUCGACUGAGCCCACCGCCCUCGACCGAGCCCGCCGCCCAGGACCGCUGCCUCCNNNNNNNNNNNNNNNNNNNNNNNNNNNNNNNNNNNNNNNNNNNNNNNNNNNNNNNNNNNNNNNNNNNNNNNNNNNNNNNNNNNNNNNNNNNNNNNNNNNNNNNNNNNNNNNNNNNNNNNNNNNNNNNNNNNNNNNNNNNNNNNNNNNNNNNNNNNNNNNNNNNNNNNNNNNNNNNNNNNNNNNNNNNNNNNNNNNNNNNNNNNNNNNNNNNNNNNNNNNNNNNNNNNNNNNNNNNNNNNNNNNNNNNNNNNNNNNNNNNNNNNNNNNNNNNNNNNCGCCAACGUCUCUCCCUAUGUAAGCCCCCACCCCUCCCCACCCCUUCUCUCUUUGCUUAGUUAGUAGAUGAUUUUAGGGUUCAUAGAUAACGAUUUUUAGAAGUAGUGAUGGUAAACUAGUUGUAUAAUUAGCAGUAGUAGAUGUUAAUUAGUAGUAGAUGUAGUAGUUAGAUGUUAAUUAGUAGUAGUAGAUGUGCUAGUAUAUUUCUAUUUAUAGUAAGUUUAUAUUUAGUAAGAACGAGUUGAAUUAAUAGAACUAGUUUAGUUUUAGUUGAACUAGUUAAGUUUUAGUUGAACUAAUAUAGUAAGUAAAUUAAUAACUAGUUGAACUACUUCAUUUUUAGAAAGAACUAGUUUUUUUCUUUUUAUACUAAGUUUAUAUUUAGUAAGAACUAGUUGAAUUAAUAGAACUAGUUGAACAUGCCAUAUUUGUUGUUAUUUUUUAGUUUAAGCAAUUAUUUCAUGUUUCGGUUACACCUCCGAGUGGCCUAUGUUUUGUCGGAGUGUUGAUUAAUUUCCGUUCCGGCAAAUUUCAGGCGCUCGAUAUGUCCUUUUUUAGCAAAGGUCAUGCCGGAUUUUUCCGUGAAUUCUGGCAUGACUUGUGCUAGAAUAUGUACAAGUUUAAUCUUUGAAUUAUGUACGUAGGAAAUGUCAUACUCGGGCGACGACAGUCUCCCAGGGGAGUGCAGCUGGUGCCACGAUGAUCGAGGUAUGUGCGACAGGUUCGUUGAGCUGAAGAUCGGCGCUUCAGCAUUAAGCUCAAAGAGACCUUCGAUGUUGAAACGGUACGCAACAACGACAAGUGUUUUUUCCAUAAUUAAGCAUGACUUCAACUAUUUCAGCGUCUAUUUUUCAUCUUUUACAAUUCGACUAGCUUAUCCCAUGCCAUGCAAGACGCUAUGUCUUAGAGAGGAUGGGUUUUGAAGACCAUGAAAAUUAUGAAACAAAGAAAAUACACCUAAGGACCCAUCAUGAUAUCGAUUUUGAAGUAAAUCUGUACAAUUCUCAGAGCGUAACCCAUUUUGGUUGCCAAAAUUGGGAAGUACUUUGCAAAAUGUAUGGUUUUUAUGAGGGUAUGAUUGUCACCAUGGAUCUUGGUAAUCCUGACAUCGAGCAAGACAAUAUGGACAUUUGGGUCCUUGUUGAUACGCUUCCGAUUCUACCGCAAUGUGAGUUUCUCAAACAUAGUUAUUAACUAAUUUAUAUUGUUUAUUUCAAAAUAGUUGACACCUUAUUUCCAUUGACAGCUUAUUUUGAAUCUUCAAAGAAUGUGCAGAAGAUGGUAGACAAAACCCACUACACUGAUGGCUCCGAAUUAACUUAUAAGGAGAAAAAUCAUCUAAUUGCUUAUUGUACUUUUCUUGAGAAUUACAAUACCUAUUAUUGAACUCCUCCAAAUUAUGGUGAAUACGUGCCACUAGUGCACGUGUUGAACCACGGUAACUUCUAUGGAGAUACCCUGGUAAGAUAUUUUACUAUUACAACAUCCGUGCAUCUUUUGCAUACUUCUAAAACUAGUACAUCAUUGCUAACUACAAAGUUAUUACUUUGUUUUUCAACAGGAAAUGCCGAUGGAUUGUGUGCCGCAUCUGAUGUAUCAGAAUGGUCGCCUUGCAGUUAUGAACAUACAGCCAGGUGAAUCUAAGGAGCUCACCUGUGCAUAUCGGAUUUCUAAAAGCGGUGAACACAUGCUAAUCAAAGAAUGGAAAAAUGUUUGGACAUUCACAAGGAGGUUCUUGGAAGUAACAUUAAGCGAAAGGCAAGAAUUGGAGACAAGAUAAUCUCCAUUCUCCAUAAUGGAGAGUCAGGGGCUAUCUUGUUUUUUGCUAUUUUACCUUAGAGAAUAUAGUAGGUCCUAAGAGAAUGUAGUAGGUCCUAUGAGGUACAAUAUGUUUAUUAUGUGAUACAAUGUGUUAGAGUUGAUGAUGUGAGGAGUACUUGUGAUUACGACUAGUGACCAAUUUGCUAUGUGAUGUCUCAUUGAUGAAAAUUAUGAUCUUGAGGAGGUGUUAUAUGACAAUGAUGUAUUAUGGUGAUAAGUUGUUAAUGAUAUGAUGAUGAUAUUUAUUAUAUCAUUGGGUGAAAGAACCGUGUGGACUAGUUUCAAGUGGAUGGACAUCCACUUGAAACUAGUCCACACGGUUCUUUCACCCCGUGAUGUAAUAACUCAUUAUGAUGUAAAAACAAUUUCUAAAUUCCUGUUGUAUGAAAACUUGUGUAAAGGUGUACGAAUACAACAUGAAAUAAAAAAGAAAUAAAAUACGAAAUAAUAGUAGCAGCGCGGGCAGGGAGAAGCGCUACUACUAAUUAUCAGUAGCGCCCUCCUGGAACUCGGUACUACUAAGUCGAUUUAGCAGCAGCGUGGGUGGAGGCACGCUACUACUAUUCGUUAGCUGUAGCGCCUUAUCAGUAGCGAAUAACCCCGCGCUACUGAUAGGUCUAAAACCCGCGCUGCUGCUAGGGUUUUCCCUAGUAGUGACCGCCGCCACCGACCCACCGCACCCUCCCCCGCUCCACCGCCGCCGCCGACCCCCCGCACCCUCCCCACCCCGCUCCACCUCCGCCAAGCACCCCCCGCACCCUCCCCGGCCCGCUCCACCGCCGCCGAGCACCGCUGCCGAGCACCCCCNNNNNNNNNNNNNNNNNNNNNNNNNNNNNNNNNNNNNNNNNNNNNNNNNNNNNNNNNNNNNNNNNNNNNNNNNNNNNNNNNNNNNNNNNNNNNNNNNNNNNNNNNNNNNNNNNNNNNNNNNNNNNNNNNNNNNNNNNNNNNNNNNNNNNNNNNNNNNNNNNNNNNNNNNNNNNNNNNNNNNNNNNNNNNNNNNNNNNNNNNNNNNNNNNNNNNNNNNNNNNNNNNNNNNNNNNNNNNNNNNNNNNNNNNNNNNNNNNNNNNNNNNNNNNNNNNNNNNNNNNNNNNNNNNNNNNNNNNNNNNNNNNNNNNNNNNNNNNNNNNNNNNNNNNNNNNNNNNNNNNNNNNNNNNNNAAAUUUGAUGAUAUUUUUUCAUAUUCAUAAAAAAAUUAUUACUGUUUUUAUAAAAAAAUUAUUACUGUUUUUAUAAAAAAAUUAUUACUGUUUUUAUAAAAAAUAUUAAAAAAUAGCAACAAAAAAUAAUAAAAAAAC
rnacentral:lncRNA from 1 species